UUUUUUUUUGUCUCUGUCUUCUUUUCUGGUGAGCCCGUUAAUUACACAGAUAUACUAUAAUGCAGCUUUGGGUCCUUCAUCUGCUGAAGAAAAACAGGAUAAUCAACCAGUCAUAUUCAUAUCCAAGCACACCUAUUCUUUGGCCACACGCUCUGGAAGUUUUGGCUCUACCAGCCAGUUAGAGCAAAAAAAUUUUUUGAAACGGAGGCAAAAGCUUUGCCUCGUUCAUUAAAUAAGAGAGAAUAGAGUUUGUUACAAGUCACUCAAUACAUGGCAUGAGAUCACUCUCGCGAAAUGAUGGACCCUAACUUUUUGGCACCGGCGAUGACCCAAAGGUUGGCCUCGGUCUCUAUGGAGGCAAGCAAAAUAGUUGGAGGAGCGCUCUUGUGCUUGAAGACCCUUGCGUUUCGCUCGUUCCAGACAGUCCACGAAACAAGCAUGGUGAGGGACGCCUUAGCUUGGCGGUUUGGCGUGGCGUUGUCGCAGGUACUUGCCCACCAAGCCUCAACUGAGUCGAACAGGGGCCAACCGUUGGUGUGAAGACCGAGAAUAUGGUAUUUGUCAAUGAUCAAAGACCAAAGCCUUCGUGUGUAGCGGCAUUUGUAGAAGAGGUGAGGCCCACAUUCCUGCACUCUCAUGCAGAGAGGGCAGAGACCACAGUUGGGCCACCCACGUUUUGCCAAACGAUCGGCAGUCCAAAUUCUGUCUUGUAGCGCCAACCAAGUGAAGAACUUGACUUUUGGGGGGGGCCCAAGCCUUCCAAACCAUUUUGUCCAAGGGUGUAAGAACCAUCCCUAAGAAUUGUGCCUUGUAUGUGGAUGCCGCCGAGUAGAUUCCACUAGCCGUAUGCUUCCACACAAUGUCAUCCUCGGUGAGAUCAUCAAGUUGGACCUCAUGCAAAAGCGCCCAAAGAGUGAAGAACUACGUGAUGAGCUCCGCGGAGAUGAUGGUGGGCGGUUUGAUCUUGAGGAUCCAUGCAUUGUGUGAGAGGGCCUCCCGAAACUUCCAAUUCUUUCUCUUUGAUGCUUUGUAAAUGAGCGGGGGAAUGUCUUUUGGCUUGCGCCCAUGAAGCCACGGUGAGUCCCAAAAAGGGGUCUUUGCACCAUUGCCAAUGGUGAUAGUAGUGGAAGCAUAGAAAAAGCUUAGGUCCUCCUUGUCGCACGGGUUUCCCAUCCCCGCCCACAUCUUGGUGGGCUCCUUCCAUUCAUACCACGGCCAUCGCAACUGGAGGGCACGUGUAAACUGCUGGGGAACGUAGCAAUAAUUCAAAAUUUCCUACGUGUAACCAAGAUCAAUCUAGGAGAUGCUAGCAACGAGAGAGAAGGAGUGCAUCUUCAUACCCUUGAAGAUCGCUAAGCGGAAGCGUUACAAGAACGCGGUUGAUGGAGUCGUACUCGCAGCGAUUCAAAUCGCGGAAGAUCCGAUCUAGCGCCGAACGGACGGCGCCUCCGCGUUCAACACACGUACAGCCCGGGGACGUCUCCUCCUUCUUGAUCCAGCAAGGGGAGAGGAGAAGUUGAGGGAGAACUCCAGCAGCACGACGGCGUGGUGGCAAUGGAGCUCGUGGUUCUCCGGCAGAGCUUCGCUAAGCACUACGGAGGAGGAGAAGGAGGUGUAUGAGGAGGGAGGGCUGCGCCAGGGAAGAGGUGCGGCUGCCCUCCCACCCCUCCGCUAUAUAUAGGGGCAAGGGGAGAGGGGGAGGCGCCCUAGGGUUUCCCCUAGGGGGCGGCGGCCAAGCAGAUUGGAUCUCCCUAGGGAAAAUCCUAGGGAGACUUGCCCCCCAAGCCAAGCAGGUGGAGGCUUGCCUCCCAAGCCAGGUGGAGGCGCCCCACCUCCCCAAGUAACGUGGGAAAGGGUGUGGGGGGCGCACCACCCCUUAGUGGGCUGGUUUGCCCCUUCCCCUUUGGCCCAUGAGGCCCUCCAACACUUGUCGGGGCUCCCGAAAUACCUUUCGGUCAUGCUGGCCAUAGCCUGGUACCCCCAGAACACUUCCGGACUCCAAUACCCUUCGUCCAAUAUAUCGAUCUUCACCGCCGAACCAUUCCGGAACUCCUCGUGAUGUCCGGGAUCUCAUCCCGGGACUCCGAACAACCUUCGGUAACCACAUACUAUUUCCCAUAACAACUCUAGCGUCACCGAACCUUAAGUGUGUAGACCCUACGGGUUCGGGAACCAUGCAGACAUGACCGAGACACCUCUCCGGCCAAUAACCAAUAGCGGGAUCUGGAUACCCAUAUUGGCUCCCACAUGUUCCACGAUGAUCUCAUCGGAUGAACCACGAUGUCGGGGAUUCAAUCAAUCCCGUAUACAAUUCCCUUUGUCUAUCGUCAUGUUGCUUGCCCGAGAUUCGAUCGUCGGUAUCCCAAUACCUCGUUCAAUCUUGUUACCGGCAAGUCUCUUUACUCGUUCCGUAACGCAUGAUCCCGUGGCUAACUCCUUAGUCACAUUGAGCUCAUUAUGAUGAUGCAUUACCGAGUGGGCCCAGAGAUACCUCUCUGUCAUACGGAGUGACAAAUCCCAGUCUCGAUUCGUGCCAACCCAACAGACACUUUUGGAGAUACCUGUAGUGCACCUUUAUAGCCACCCAGUUACGUUGUGACGUUUGGUACACCCAAAGCAUUCCUACGGUAUCCGGGAGUUGCACAAUCUCAUGGUCUAAGGAAACGAUAUUUGACAUUAGAAAAGCUCUUAGCAAACGAACUACACGAUCUUGUGCUAUGCUUAGGAUUGGGUCUUGUCCAUCACAUCAUUCUCCUAAUGAUGUGAUCCCGUUAUCAAUGACAUCCAAUGUCCAUGGUCAGGAAACCAUAACCAUCUAUUGAUCAACGAGCUAGUCAACUAGAGGCUUACUAGGGACAUGUUGUGGUCCAUGUAUUCACACAUGUAUUACGGUUUCCAGUUAAUACAAUUAUAGCAUGAACAAUAGACAAUUAUCAUGAACAAGGAAAUACAAUAAUAACCAUUUUAUUAUUGCCUCUAGGGCAUAUUUCCAACAUAAACUUGUUGGUGUUGAGAACCCCAAGUCCCCCAUAUUGAAGUGGCCGGCAAACAAUAUCCCAAUUGACCUUGCAUUUUGCUCCCGUUGUCUUGUCCGAACCGGACCAAAGGAAAGCUCUCUCAAGUUUGUUGACUUUGAGCAAGAUGGUUGGUGGAAUAACUAGCGGUGUGGUGGGGUUGUCACGCCCAAUAUGCGAUACUAUCCUAAAGAGACUCGAAGGUCCCACCAAGGAUAGAACCGCAUAUUGACACGCUUUUGCAAGGUGGAUAUCAUUACAUCAAACCAUUACAUAAAUAGUUGGGGAUACAUACAAAGGCACAAACGCCCCAAGAAUACAUCAACAUCAUUCAAGAGAACAACAUCCGCCUACGGAUGAAACACAAACAGGAACUCAAACAAUAUCCACCCUGCUAGCCCAGGCUGCCGACCCGGAACCUAACCCAAGAUCGACGAAGAAGAAGAAGAACUCCAACACAAGUAAACAUCGCUCUCACGUCAUGAUCAUCGCAUAGACUGUACCUGCAACUGUUGUUGUAGUAUUCUGUGAGCCACGAGGACUCAGCAAUCCCAUUACCAUGGGUACCAAGACUAGCAAAGUUUAAUGGGUAAGGAAGGGGUAAAGUGGUGAGGUUGCAGCAGCGACUAAGCAUGUAUGGUGGCUAACUUACGAAUACAAGAGUAAGAUGAGAAGCUACGUAAACGGUCGCAAACUAGAAAUGAUCAAGAAGUGAUCAUGUACUACUACUUACGUCAAACAUAACCCAAAAACCGUGUUCUCCUCUCGAACAACCACGAAAAGAGACAAUCACGGUUACGCACGCGGUUGGUGUAUGUCGCGGAAUUGUCACGGCAGAUGUCCUAGGGUGAGGACUUCGUCGUGAGGCUAGCGCAUCUAUGUAGUAGCUUGAGAGGGGUUGAGCGGAAUCGAGAGACGCAACACAAGACGAGGAUUUAGACAGCUCUGGGCCCCGGGAAACAUCAUCCGGUAAUAACCCUACAUGCUGUUUGAGGCUAGAUCUCAUUAUCAUCACGAGGGAGUCACCGUAAACCGGCUCUCCUCUAAUUGUGUCUAGCCCUAGAGAUUAUUGAUUGUUGCCUGUAGCUUGUCCCUCUUUGGGGAGCCCUGCCCCUCCUUAUAUAUGUUGAAGGGGCGGGUUACAUGUGGAGUCCUAUUAGGAUUAGGACUAGUCUAUCUCUAAUACAAACCGGAUACAAGUCCAGGUCUUAUCUCCUUGUAAGACAAAUAUUCCUCACGCCUUUCCUUGUAAACCGGACCACCAUAGUAUGAACCGGCCUUCUGGGCCUUGGGCCUUGUCACCGUCUGUCCCGCCCGCCGGGUUACCAGUGAAUCAUAAUGUUCAGUCAGGUUGCUUGUAAACCGUCUGGUCUGUGCGGGUCGCCGGUGAAUCGCCAAGUGUUUAGCGGGGUCUCAAAUAAACCGCCAAGUCCGGCUGGGUUAUACUUCCGGCCGCUUUACGCCGCGGGGUAUAUCCCCGACAUUAGCCCCCAGUUUAAUUUGGAUUUAUCCAUGUUAAACUAAUCCUGUAAAAUAAACACAAGAACAAACUUGACAGAUUAUUCUCCGGGUUAAGAAUUCUUGUAAACCGGCAUCUGAUCAUCCUUAAGUCCUUGUCAUUUCCUCCUUCUAGAAAAUCCGGGUCAACAGGCCAGCUUCAUACUCAAUUUGCUGACAUUGGUUUCUCACACAGAAAUAUUGUGAAGAAUAAUCCACUUGAGUCGGCUUCAAAAGCGCCGGUUUAAGAAAUAUUGGUUUUGAAAUACUCAUCUGAUAUUCAACCGGUUUGAAGAUGUAGAACUUGCCGGUUUAUCAUUGCCAAAACUGCUGGGUUAUAAAAACUGAUAAUUCCGGGUUAUGAUUGUUGCCAACGCCGAUUCAUGAUUGUUGCAGACACCGGGUCAUAAUGAUUGGUGAUGCCGGGUCAAUCUGGUUUGCUCAAAACUGAAAAUCGGAAGAUAUUUCUCCCUUAUAUCCAUAUUACUUGUAGCCCCCAAGUCUUGAACAGAACAAAGUGAUGAUUUGAGACUUGUUUCCAUAUAACUACUGCUACUUUGAAGAAAUCCAUGUUGUUCAUCUCUAGUAAAAACUGAAUACUCCAUAUAUGUAGCCCCCAAGUACCGGGUUGUCAUGCUUGCAGCAACCUGGGACUUGUAAUUGCUUAUAAAAACUUCAAUCAGUGUAGCCCCCAAGGGUCGGGUCAUUAUGCAAUAAUGAGCAGGGACUUUGUAAAUAUAAUCAUGUAGACUUGAGCAGUGAUGUGUAGCCCCCAAGGGCCGGCUUAGUAAGAUAAUACUGAACCGGGACUUGAUAUAUACUUCAAUGAAAAUAACAUCUUAUAAUGUAGCUUCCAUCGUAGGGCUUGAACCCACGUCCAUAAGGUUAAGAGCUUUGUGCUUUACCAACUGAGCAGUGGAUCCUUCAAUAUAAUGGACGAAAACUUGUGUACCUCGAAUUGUUGACAGGAGCAAUUGGUAGCCCCCAAUGGCCGGCUCAUUAUGAUAUGAUGAGUCGGGUCUUCAAUAAGACUAGUAAAAAUGACUUUGCAUUAGCCCCCAAGUGUCAUGGUGCAUGCUUGCAGCGACAUGAGACUUGCGUGUAAUCUCAAUUUGAAUAAUGUAAUCCCGAAGUGCCGGGUUGUAAGCCUGCAGCAACUCGGGACUAUUCCUUCCAUUGUAGAAUAAAUCAUAUCCUUUGAUAAAAUAAUAGCCAUUGCGCUAAAGCGACUUUGAAAACCUCAAUAAUACUGGUUAUUAAUAACCAUAAAAAAUCCAGCCAUGUUGCCUAUUCAAGAUAAUAUAAUCUGGUAUGAAAACCUUAUUCAUUCAAUAUCAUAAUGAAAAUUCAGCCAAGUUUGACUAUUUGAAUAAUAUAACCCAAUGAUCUACAAGUGCAUGAUUCCAAUGGCGCAAUCCAAAUAUAUACUGGCAACUUACAGUCCAAAGCCAGGUCGAGUUAACAAACACCGGAUAACUUCUCAUCAUAUGCUGGCGACUUAUCGUCGUAAAGCCAGGCCGGUUUAAUAAACACCGGAUAAUUUAUCAUCAUACUGGCGACUUAUAGUCGAAAGCCAGGCCGGGUUAAUAAACGCCGGUGAUUUAUAAUCAUGCUUUAUUCAACCUGUUUCUCCGUACAACAAGUUUAAAGUGUCCUGGCGGUUUACCGCCGGACGGGUCAUAAUGCCCAACAUAUAACCCGGGUUUAUAACCAAGGCUGCACUUAAGAAUAAUCAAAUAUGAAAUAUAUCAUACCUGUGACAUUGAAUCACAUCGUUGGUUUACCAACUUUUUAUAGUAAGGGUGAUAACCCAAAUUUUGAGUACUAAUAACUCCUUCCAUAUUGUGCCGGUUUAUGAUAAAACCGUACCGGGUUGUGAUAAACACCGGUUUAUUCCAUACUGGUAACUAUGAGUCAAAACCAGACCGGGCCGGAUUAUAACUUGGUCAUGUACUGACAACUUGUAGUUGACAGCCUAACCGGGUUGAUAAACACCGGUUUGAAAACAUCACAAAUCUUAGCAAAAGAAAAGGAAACUUAGCAAAAGGCAAAUAAAACCGUUGUAGUCGAGGCUUUUCACGGGCUGCCAGGCCCCAAAUUUGAUCAAGAGGUGUUGCUAUGGUUCGGGUUCGACCAAGCCCCCAAGUGAUGACGUGGCAUUACGCCGAUCAAAAGGCAUUGCUAUGGUUCGGGUUCGACCUAGCCCCCAAGUGAUGCUGUGGUUUUACGCCGAUCAAGAGGCGUAGCCAUGGUUCGGGUUCGACCAUGCUCCCAAGUGAUGUUGUGGCAUUACGCCGAUCAAGAGGCGUGGCUAUGGUUCGGAUACGACCAAGCCCCCAAGUGAUGCUGUGGCAUUGCGCCGAUCAAGAGGCGUGGCUAUGGUUCGGUUACGACCAAGCCCCCAAGUGAUGUUUUGGCAUUGCGCCGAUCAAGAGGUGUAGCUAUGGUUCGGAUACGACCAAGCCCCCAAGUGAUAUUGUAUAAAGCCAUGUUUGAACCGCGCAUCAUGGCAGCAGGUCCUCUUUGGCAACCUUUACCUUUUUGCAAGAGAUAAAUUCUUCUUGAACCGGGAUUUUGAACCGGAUAUUGAGAGCUUCAAAGAUUUGUGGGAGACAUCUUUCCCUUGAACCGGAUUUUAAACCGGAAUCUUCAUUUUCAGCCGGAAAUUUUCUGAUGGCCUUUAAACUCGAACUUGCGAGAAGUUAAUUCCUUUUUGAACCGAACAUUUUCAAACCGGAUUUGAGAGCUUUAGAGCUUUGUGGGAGACAGAUUUCCCUUGAACCGGAUAUUUGAGAGCUCCAGUUAGACUGACUUCCCUUGAGCCGGAUUUUAAACCGGAAUCCUUUCUGAUGACCCGGAACUUCUUCAUUGAGCCGGGAUUUUGUAACUGUCAUAUACUUUCUAAGCCGGAAAUUUUCUGACGGCCUUUAAAUUUUCAUCAAUAUAACAGUAGCCUCCGGGACCGGGUUAUCUUUCCCUCCAUCGUCCUGGGGUUCUUAAAUUUGCUGAACUUGGCAAGAUUUGCUGAGUCAUGUCAUCAUAGCCCCCCGAGUCUCAAAGGUGACUCGAGGAGUUGGCUUGAAACUCUCCAUAUUGGACCGUGAUAUAAACGGGCAUAACUUGUAUAUCAUUGGUGUUGAUAGCACGAUGUAAAUCCACAGAAGGCUGAGGUGACCGCGGCGGGUUAUUAAUGAUCCCGGAUGAGCCGUGCCAGCAACUCAGCCAAUGGUUCCUUCCAACUGGCGAUUUGAAGUUAACCAAACUGUAGUAGCGGCGACUUGUGCGCCUGCCCAUUGAGCCACCCAGUGCAGACGGCGGUUGACAGUAUAUGAUAAUUUGCCUCUAUUUUGUUGAAAGAAAACCGGGCUACCCAAGCAGUGACUUGCUCAUACUCAAUAAACAGCUCAUGCAGACAUGUGCGGCCCGGUAUGUUGAUGUAGACCAGGCCGCGAGAGACGGACGACAAGGACGACCGCAACAUCGGAAGCAGCUCGGAUAGAUGAGUCGGCUGCCGUAUUGUAAGCCGGUGCGGACGGGGAAGAUCGGCACCGGUGUCGUAAACUGGCUCGGACGGGCAAGUUAAUCGCGGGGCGCGGUCCCAGCAAGCUGAUGUAAACCGGGCCACAGGGACGGCGACUUGCGCACAUUCAUUCACCGGGUGGUAUGACACGGACGAAACGCCGGUGCAGAACGUUGCUAGCGUGUGCUCCGUGCCCGUAAUAUGACGCCUCAUUUGUAAUGAACAAUCGUCCUGCGUCAAAAAAUACCACAUGCCAAAGUAAUUGUUCACAUAAAAAUUAAUAUAUGCUAUGAAAACAAAAUCGGACGGAUAUCACCUGAUGUUUGUGAAUGACAGAUGAUCUGUACGCCGCGUCAGAGGCAUCUCGGUGGUUCAGGCAGACCGGCGACUCCCGAUGACUCAACACGGCAGAGGCAGCUCAAUGUGGCCCCGACGGUUUAACGCGGUGGCGACGGCGACAUUGGGAUGAAGCCUUUUCAGAAUUGUUUCUAUACUGACACCUUUUUUUGUUCGAGGGACAUCCAACUUGCCGUACCACCAACAAUGAGUAGUAUCAGACCCUUCUUGAUUAAAAUAGCACAAGUGUCAACGUUGGUCUUGAGCCUUUGGAACUUGGCAUUCAACUUGUGCAGCACCUUGCUAGGAGACUCCUCAAAAAUCUGUGCAAACCAGAGUAACGCAGUAGUGAGGAGCGCUGCGGCGGCUCGGCGGGACAGCAGCAGUGGGCGGCUCGUGGCGGCGACUCAAAGCCUGGUCGGCGCGGCGGCUCUGCAGUGGCUCACGGCAGCGGCUGUGGACUCAGCAGGGACCGGGUCUUCGUGCAACCAUGGCAGCAAUUUUAGACAGCUCGACGGCGCGCGACAACGACGGUCGAGCAAGGAGAGGUUAACAGAGACGCAGUAAGGCGCGGCAGAAGCAACGCUCGCAGGCGGCAGGUCAAACUUGAAGCAGGACGACCACAGCGGCGGUUUGGAACACCGGUGGGGGCGGCUCGGAGGCUGCGACGGUUGUAGCAGAAGCAUACUGGUGAAACGGUGGCUCAGUAGAGGCUCCGGCAGGACAAGGCGGCUCAAUGCGGGACAGCCCGGAAGGCGACCGGGCGGCUCACGGCGCUGGGCGACUCAACGGGCGACGGGCUGCUCGCGCCGGGGCGGCUCAGUGGCUCGGCGAUCGGCGGUUCGAACGACGAGGGCGCGACGGCGGCGACCGGCCCAGAGGUGACGGGAGGUCCUGGCGGGUCGGCGAAAGCGAAUGCGCGGCCGGCUUCGACGAGGUUGGAACGAGGGAGGCGCCCGAUUCAGUGGCGGCGACUCAGGGCCAGCAGAGCGGCGCAUCCAACGAAGAGGGCUAGCGGAGCGAGCCGCGGCGACGGGUUGAAUCAGGUCGCAAGAAAUCAACUCCCAUCGCGGCUCAGUAAACAGGCGUGGAGGCGCUGCGGCGACUCUGGCGGAGGAUCGAAUCCAUGUCUGCUUUCCGUGUCGUGGCCGGCUUAAUCGACUCUCGUCCGUGUCCUCCUUCCAGUCGUGGUUGGUUUGACUCUCCCUUUUUUUGACUUGAUUGUUUCUCAGAUCCGACUCAUACUAGCAAUACUUGAUAGCUUUGUUUGUACGCCCAUAGGAAACGGGGAUCAAACUCUGUAGCUUGAUAUGACGAGUUACCAAUACUUGAUAAUUUGUUAUGGGCUAUCUGACUAGCUCUGUCUCCAUGCGGAUGGGUUGAUGAUUCUGAUGGAUUUGAUGUGUGCGCUUUCAGAGGCGUUGCUUCUGAUUGUCCAUCCGUCCUGGCGUGAAGACGGCCACAGCAGAGGAGAGCAGCCGCGGGUUAAGACCAACAGACACAGCUCCGCUCGAGGUAGAGGCGAGAUGAGGGGGCAACUCGAGGCCGUGGAGGCCGAGUCAGGCGGCUUGGGAGGCCGCUGGGACAACGCAACGGCUGAGGGGAGUCGCGGCGGCUCAACGCGCUGAACACUCGAAGCAGGGCCGGUGUCCAAUCCUUUUUCGGGUCGUGUUUGGGUUGACGCCCCGCCCCAUUGCUGUGUAUAGUUGAAUCGGAAACUUGUCGGUCUCGGCGACUUGCACGCGUGCCGAACUAGCAGCGCCCGCUCCCAACAUCGAUCUGGCUUUCAGAUCGUUUGUGCAUUAAAGGAAAAAUAGCACAAGCGGCUACAAGUUGAUGCUCCAGGACUUGUACUGUGCCCAAUCAUACUCCAACGGAAGUUGACGGUCUUAUCGACGUGGUGAUUUGACAGCUUGAUGGAUUGCUAGAUGCGCACAGCCCGCCGAGAAAAAUUGACCGCAUCCACCGGAUUGCACAGUGACAUGAAGAUUAAAAUCCUGUCGGCCCUUUGUAACCCUAAAUUUCUUGAACCUUCAAUCGUUACAGAUCUCAAAUUCGGACUGAUGAACUUGAAGUUGAUACAAAUCCCUCCAAACCAGCUCAUCCGGAAAAUUGCAAAACUUCUUGAUCCCUGGGAGAGGUCCCUCCAAUAACUCAACACCACCGUGCGCGAGCCCCACGGUGGGCGCCAACUAUCGCGGAAUUGUCACGGCAGAUGUCCUAGGCUGAGGACUUAGUCGUGAGGCCAGCGCAUCUAUGUAGUAGCUUGAGAGGGGUUGAGUGGAAUCGAGAGACGCAACACAAGACGAGGAUUUAGACAGCUUCGGGCCCCGGGAAACAUCAUCCGGUAAUAACCCUACAUGCUGUUUGAGGCUAGAUCUCAUUAUCAUCACGAGGGAGUCGCCGUAAACCGGCUCUCCUUUAAUUGUGUCUAGCCCUAGAGAUUAUUGAUUGUUGCCUGUAGCUUGUCCCUCUUUGGGGAGCCCUGCCCCUUCUUAUAUAUGUUAAGGGGCGGGUUACAUGUGGAGUCCUAUUAGGAUUAGGACUAGUCUAUCUCUAAUACAAACCGGAUACAAGUCCAGGUCUUAACUCCUUGUAAGACAAAUAUUCCUCACGCCUUUCCUUGUAAACCGGACCACCAUAGUAUGAAUCGGCCUUCUGGGCCUUGGGCCUUGUCACCGUCUGUCCCGCCCGUCGGAUUACCAGUGAAUCAUAACGUUCAGUCAGGUUGCUUGUAAACCGUCUGGUCUGUGCGGGUCGCCGGUGAAUCACCAAGUGUUUAGCGGGGUCUCAAAUAAACCGCCAAGUCCGGCCGGGUUAUACUUCCGGCCGGUUUACGCCGCGGGGUAUAUCCCCGACAGUGUAUUUUAGAAGAGUUUACUUCAAGUUUACUACAACCGGAUAUUAACAAAUUCCCAUCUACCACAUAACCGCGGGCACCGGUCUUGAAAGUUUAUACCCUGCAGGGGUGUCCCAGCUUAGCCCAUCACAAGCUCUCACGGUCAACGAAGGAUAUUCCUUCUCCCGGGAAGACCCGAUCAGUCUCGGAAUCCCGGUUACAAGACAUUUCGACAAUGGUAAAACAAGACCAGCAAAGCCGCCCGAUGUGUCGACAAUCCAGAUAGGAGUCGCACAUAUCUCGUUCUCAGGACACACCGGAUAGGUCAAGCUACGAGUAAAACCAGCCCUCAAGUUGCCCCGAGGUGGCCCCGCAGGCUGCUCGGUUCGGACCAACACUGAAGGAAAUAUGCCCUAGAGGCAAUAAUAAAGUUAUUAUUUAUUUCCUUAUUUCAUGAUAAAUGUUUAUUAUUCAUGCUAGAAUUGUAUUAACCGGAAACAUAAUACAUGUGCGAAUACAUAGACAAACAUAGUGUCACUAGUAUGCCUCUACUUGACUAGCUCGUUAAUCAAAGAUGGUUAAGUUUCCUAACCAUAGACAUGAGUUGUCAUUUGAUUAACGGGAUCACAUCAUUAGGAGAAUGAUGUGAUUGACUUGACCCAUUCCGUUAGCUUAGCACUUGAUCGUUUAGUAUGUUGCAAUUGCUUUCUUCAUGACUUAUACAUGUUCCUAUGACUAUGAGAUUAUGCAACUCCCGUUUAUCGGAGGAACACUUUGUGUGCUACCAAACGCCACAACGUAACUGGGUGAUUAUAAAGGUGCUCUACAGGUGUCUCCGAAGGUACUUGUUGGGUUGGCGUAUUUCGAGAUUAGGAUUUGUCACUCCGAUUGUCGGAGAGGUAUCUCUGGGCCCACUCGGUAAUGCACAUCACUAUAGCCUUGCAAGCAUUGUAACUAAUGAGUUAGUUACGGGAAGAUGUAUUACGGAACGAGUAAAGAGACUUUCCAGUAACGAGAUUGAACUAGGUAUUGAGAUACCGACGAUCGAAUCUCGGGCAAAUAACAUACCGAUGACAAAGGGAACAAACGUAUGUUGUUAUGCGGUUUGACCGAUAAAGAUCUUCGUAGAAUAUGUGGGAGCCAAUAUGAGCAUCCAGGUUCCGCUAUUGGUUAUUGACCGGAGACGUUUCUCGGUCAUGUCUACAUAGUUCUCGAACCCGUAGGGUCCGCACGCUUAAAGUUUCGGUGACGAUUGUAUUAUGAGUUUAUGUGAUUUGAUGUACCGAAGGUAGUUCAGAGUCCGGGAUGAGAUCGGGGACAUGACGAGGAGUCUCGAAAUGGUCGAGACGUAAAGAUCGUUAUAUUGGACGACUAUAUUCGGACAUCGGAAAGGUUCCGAGUGAUUCGGGUAUUUUCGGAGUACCGGGGAGUUACGGGAAUUCACCGGGAGAAGUAUUGGGCCUCAUUGGGCCAUACGGGAAUAGAGGAGAGAGGCCAAAAGGAAGGAGGCGCACGCCCCCCCUCUGGUUCGAAUUGGAUAAGGGGUGCAGCCCCCUUUUCCUUCUCCCUCUCCCCCUCUUUCCUUCUCUCCUACUCCGGAAAGGAAAGGGGAAUCCUACUAGGACUUGGGAGUCCUAGUAGGACUCCCCACACUUGGCGCGCCCCCUCUAGGGCCGGCCUCUCCCUCCCUCCUUUAUAUACGGGGGCAGGGGGCACCUCUAGACACAACAAUUGAUCUCUUAGCCGUGUGCGGUGCCCCCCUCCACCAUAUUCUACCUCGAUCAUAUCGUAGCGGUGCUUAGGCGAAGCCCUGUGUCGGUAGCAUCAUCAUCACCGUCACCACGCCGUCGUGCUGACGGAACUCUCCCGUGAAGCUCUGCUGGAUCGUAGUUCGCGGGACGUCAUCGAGCUGAACGUGUGCUGAACUCGGAGGUGUCGUACGUUCGGUACUUGGAUCGGUCGGAUCGUGAAGACGUACGACUACAUCAACCGCGUUGUGCUAACGCUUCCGCUUUCGGUCUACAAGGGUACGUGGACAACACUCUCCCCUCUCGUUGCUAUGCAUCACCAUGAUCCUGUGUGUGCGUAGGAAUUUUUUUGAAAUUACUAUGUUCCCCAGCAGUGGCAUCCGAGCCUGAUUUUAUGCGUAGAUGUUAUAUGCACGAGUAGAACACAAGUGAGUUGUGGGCGAUACAAGUCAUACUGCUUACCAGCAUGUCAUACUUUGGUUCCGCGGUAUUGUUGGAUGAAGCGGCCCGGACCGACAUUACGCGUACGCUUACGCGAGACUGGUUCUACCGACGUGCUUUGCACACAGGUGGCUGGCAGGUGUCAGUUUCUCCAACUUUAGUUGAACCGAGUGCGGCUACGCCCGGUCCUUGAGAAGGUUAAAACAGCACUAACUUGACGAACUAUUGUUGUGGUUUUGAUGCGUAGGUAAGAACGGUUCUUGCUCAGCCCGUAGCAGCCACGUAAAACUUGCAACAACAAAGUAGAGGACGUCUAACUUGUUUUUGCAGGGCAUGUUGUGAUGUGAUAUGGUCAAGACAUGAUGCUAUAUUUUAUUGUAUGAGAUGAUCAUGUUUUGUAACCGAGUUAUCAGCAACUGGCAGGAGCCAUAUGGUUGUCGCUUUAUUGUAUGCAAUGCAAUCGCCCUGUAAUGCUUUACUUUAUCACUAAGCGGUAGCGAUAGUCAUAGAAGCAUAAGUUGGUGAGACGACAGCGAUGCUACGAUGGAGAUCAAGGUGUCGCGCCGGUGACGAUGGUGAUCAUGACGGUGCUUCGGAGAUGGAGAUCACAAGCACAAGAUGAUGAUGGCCAUAUCAUAUCACUUAUAUUGAUUGCAUGUGAUGUUUAUCUUUUAUGUAUCUUAUCUUGCUUUGAUUGACGGUAGCAUUAUAAGAUGAUCUCUCACUAAAUUUCAAGAUAAAAGUGUCCUCCCUGAGUAUGCACCGUUGCGAAAGUUCUUCGUGCUGAGACACCACAUGAUGAUCGGGUGUGAUAGGCUCUACGUUCAAAUAGAACGGGUGCAAAACAGUUGCACACACGGAAUACUCAGGUUAAACUUGACGAGCCUAGCAUAUGCAGAUAUGGCCUCGGAACACUGAGACCGAAAGGUCGAGCGUGAAUCAUAUAGUAGAUAUGAUCAACAUAGUGAUGUUCACCAUUGAAACUACUCCAUCUCACGUGAUGAUCAGAUAUGGUUUAGUUGAUUUGGAUCACGUGAUCACUUAGAUGAUUAGAGGGAUGUCUAUCUAAGUGGGAGUUCUUAAGUAAUAUGAUUAAUUGAACUUUAAUUUAUCAUGAACUUAGUCCUGGUAGUAUUAGCAUAUCUAUGUUGCAGAUCAAUAGCUCGCGAUGUUGCUCCCCGUUUUUUAAUAUCUUCGUAGAGAAAAACUAUGUUGAAAGAUGUUAGUAGCAAUGAUGCGGACUUGGUCCGUGAUCUGAGGAUUAUCCUCAUUGCUGCACAGAAGAAUUAUGUCCUUGAUGCACCGCUAGGUGACAGAACUAUUGCAGGAGCAGAUGCAGAUGUUUUGAACGUUUUGACAAAAGCUCGAUAUGAUAACUACUUGAUAGUAUAAUGCACCAUGCUUUACGGCUUAGAACCGGGACUUCAAAAAAUAUUUGAACGCCACGGAGCAUAUAAGAUGUUCCAAGAGUUGAAAUUGGUAUUUCAUACUCAUGCCCGUGUUAAGAGGUAUGAGACCUCUGACAUUACCUUGCCUACAAGAUGGAGGAGAAUAGCUCAACCAGUAAGCAUGUGCUCAGAUUGUCUGAGUACUACAAUCACUUGAAUCAAGUGGGAGUUAAUCUUCCAGAUAAGAUAGUGAUUGACAAAGUUCUCUAGUCACUAUCACCAAGUUUCUAGAACUUCGUGAUGAACUAUAAUAUGCAAGGGAUAACGGAAACGAUUCCCAAGCUCUUCGUGAUGCCGAAAUCGACGAAGGUAGAAAUCAAGAAAAACAUCAAGUGUUGAUGGUUAACAAGACCACUAGUUUCAAGAAAAGGGCAAAGGGAAGAAGGGGAACUUCAAGAAGAAUGGCAAGAAAGUUGCUGCUCAAGUGAAGAAGCCCACGUCUGGACCUAAGCCUGAAACUAAGUGCUUCUACUGCAAAGGGACUAGUCACUGGAAGAGGAACUGCCCCAAGUAUUUGGUGGAUAAGAAAGAUGGCAAAAUGAACAAAGGUAUAUUUGAUAUACAUGUUAUUGAUGUGUACUUUACUAGUGUUUAUAGCAACCCCGCGGUAUUUGAUACUAGUUCAGUUGCUAAGAGUAGUAACUCGAAACAGGAGUUGCAGAAUGAACAUAAACUAGUUAAGAGUGAAGUGACGAUGUGUGUUGGAAGCAGUUCCAAGAUCGAUAUGAUCAUCAUCGCACACUCCCUAUACUUUCGGGAUUAUUGUUGAACCUAAAUAAAUGUUAUUUGGUUUUGCGUUGAGCAUGAAUAUGAUUUGAUCAUGUUUAUUGCAAUACGGUUAUUCAUUUAAAUUAGAGAAUAAUUGUUGUUCUGUUUACAUGAAUAAAACCUUCUAUGGUCAUACACCCAAUGAAAAUGGUUUGUUGGAUCUCGAUUGUAGUGAUACACAUAUUCAUAAUAUUGAAGCUAAAAGAUGCAAAGUUAAUAAUGAUAGUGCAACUUAUUUGUGGCACUGCCGUUUAGGUCAUAUUGGUGUAAAGCGCAUGAAGAAACUCCAUGCUGAUGGAUUUUUGGAAUCACUUGAUGCUUGCGAACCAUGCCUCAUGGGCAAGAUGACUAAGACUCCGUUCUCUGGAACAAUGGAGCGAGCAACCGACUUAUUAGAAAUAAUACAUACUGAUGUAUGCAGUCCGAUGAGUGUUAAGGCUCGCGGCGGGUAUCGUUAUUUUCUGACCUUCACAGAUGAUUUGAGCAGAUAUGGGUAUAUCUACUUGAUGAAACAUAAGUCUGAAACAUUUGAAAAGUUCAAAGAAUUUCAGAGUGAAGUGGAAAAUCAUCGUGACAAGAAAAUAAAGUUUCUACGAUCUGAUCGCGGAGACAAAUAUUUGAGUUACAAGUUUGGACUUCAAUUAAAACAAUGUGGAAUAGUUUCACAAAUUCGUGCCACCUGAAACACCACAGCAUAAUGGUGUGUCCGAACGUCAUAACCGUACUUUAUUGGAUAUAGUGCAAUCUAUGAUGUUUCUUACUGAUUUACCACUAUAGUUUUGGGGUUAUGCAUUAGAGACAGCUGCAUUCACGUUAAAAAGGGCACCAUCUAAAUCCGUUGAGACGACACCAUAUGAACUGUGGUUUGGCAAGAAACAAAAGUUGUCAUUUCUUAACGUUUGGGGUUGCGAUGCUUACAAGAAAAAAGUUUCAACCUGAUAAGCUCAAACCCAAAUCGGAGAAAUGUGUCUUCAUAGGAUACCCAAAGGAGAUAGUUGGGUACACCUUCUAUCACAAAUCCGAAGGCAAGAUAUUCGUUGCUAAGAAUGGAUCCUUUCUAGAGAAGGAGUUUCUCUCGAAAGAAGUGAGUGGGAGGAAAGUAGAACUUGAUGAGGUAACUGUACCUGCUCCCUUAUUGGAAAGUAGUUCAUCACAGAAAUCUGUUCCUGUGACUACUACACCAACUAGUGAGGAAGCUAAUGAUGAUGAUCAUGUAACUUCAGAUCAAAUUACUAUCGAACCUCAUAGGUAAACCAGAGUGAGAUCCGCACCAGAGUGGUACGGUAAUCCUGUUCUGGAGGUCAUGUUACUUGACCAUGACGAACCUACGAACUAUGAGGAAGCGAUGAUGAGCCCAGAUUCCGCAAAAAUGGCUUGAAGCCAUGAAAUCUGAGAUGGGAUCCACGUAUGAGAACAAAGUGUGGACUUUGGUUGACUUGCCCGAUGAUCGGCAAGCCAUAGAAAAUAAAUGGAUCUUCAAGAGGAAGACGGAUUCUGAUAGUAGUGUUACUAUCCACAAAUCUAGACUUGUCGAAAAAAAGGUUUUUGACAAAGUUUAAGGUGUUGACAACGAUGAGAUUUUCUCAUUCGUAGCGAUGCUUAAGUCUGUCCGAAUCAUGUUAGCAAAUUGCCACAUUUUAUGAAAUCUGGCAAAUGGAUGUCAAAACUACAUUCCUUAAUGGAUUUCUUAAAGAAGAGUUGUAUAUGAUGCAACUAGAAGGUUUUGUCGAUCCUAAAGGUGCUAACAAAAUGUGCAAGCUCCAGCGAUCCAUCUAUGGACUGGUGCAAGCAUCUCGGAGUUGGAAUAUACACUUUGAUGAGUUGAUCAAAGCAUAUAGUUUUAUACAGACUUGCGGUGAAGCCUGUAUUUACAAGAAAGUGAGUGGGAGCACUACAGCAUUUCUGAUAAAUAUAUGUGAAUGACAUAUUGUUGAUCGAAAAUAAUGUAGAAUUUUCUGGAAAGCAUAAAGGAGUAUUUGAAAGGAGUUUUUCAAAGAAGGACCUCGGUGAAGCUGCUUACAUAUUGAGCAUCAAGAUCUAUAGAGAUAGAUCAAGACGCUUGAUAAGUUUUUCCAAUGAGUACAUACCUUGACAAGAUUUUGAAAUAGUUCAAAAUGGAACAGUCAAAGAAAGACUUCUUGCCUGUGUUACAAGGUGUGAAAUUGAGUAAGACUCAAGGCCCGACCAUGGCAGAAGAUAGAAAGAGAAUGAAAGUCAUUCCCUAUGCCUCAGUCAUAGGUUCUAUAAAGUAUGCCAUGCUGUGUACCAGAUCUAUUGUAUACCCUACCACUGAGUUUGGCAAGGGAGUACAAUAGUGAUCUAGGAGUAAAUCAGUGGACAGCGGUCAAAAUUAUCCUUAGUGGAAUAAGGAUAUGUUUCUCGAUUAUGGAAGUGACAAAAGGUUCGUCGUAAAGGGUUACGUCAAUGCAAGUUUUGACACUGAUCCAGAUGACUCUAAGUCUCAAUCUGGAUACAUAUGGAAAGUGGGAGCUAUUAGCUAGAGUAGCUCCGUGCAGAGCAUUGUAGACAUAGAAAUUUGCAAAAUACUUACGGAUCUGAAUGUGACAGACCCGUUGACUAAAAUUAUCUCACAAGCAAAACAUGAUCACACCUUAGUACUCUUUGGGUGUUAAUCACAUAGCGAUGUGAACUAGAUUACUGACUCUAGUAAACCCAUUGGGUGUUGGUCACAUAUCGAUGUGAACUAUGGGUGUUAACCACAUAAAGAUGUGAACUAUUGACGUUAAAUCACAUGGCGAUGUGAACUAGAUUAUGGACUCUAGUGCAAGUGGGAGACUGAAGGAAAUAUGCCCUAGAGGCAAUAAUAAAGUUAUUAUUUAUUUCCUUAUUUCAUGAUAAAUGUUUAUUAUUCAUGCUAGAAUUGUAUUAACCGGAAACAUAAUACAUGUGUGAAUACAUAGACAAACAUAGUGUCACUAGUAUGCCUCUACUUGACUAGCUCGUUAAUCAAAGAUGGUUAAGUUUCCUAACCAUAGACAUGAGUUGUCAUUUGAUUAAAGGGAUCACAUCAUUAGGAGAAUGAUGUGAUUGACUUGACCCAUUCCGUUAGCUUAGCACUUGAUCGUUUAGUAUGUUGUUAUUGCUUUCUUCAUGACUUAUACAUGUUCCUAUGACUAUGAGAUUAUGCAACUCCCGUUUACCGAAGGAACACUUUGUGUGCUACCAAAUGUCACAACGUAACUGGGUGAUUAUAAAGGUGCUCUACAGGUGUCUCCGAAGGUACUUGUUGGGUUGGCGUAUUUCGAGAUUAGGAUUUGUCACUCCGAUUGUCGGAGAGGUAUCUCUGGGCCCACUCGGUAAUGCACAUCACUAUAAGCCUUGCAAGCAUUGUAACUAAUGAGUUAGUUACGGGAUGAUGUAUUACGGGACGAGUAAAGAGACUUGCCAGUAACGAGAUUGAACUAGGUAUUGAGAUACCGACGAUCGAAUCUCGAGCAAGUAACAUACCGAUGACAAACGGAACAAACGUAUGUUGUUAUGCGGUUUGACCGAUAAAGAUCUUCGUAGAAUAUGUGGGAGCCAAUAUGAGCAUCCAGGUUCCGCUAUUGGUUAUUGGCGGGAGACGUGUCUUGGUCAUGUCUACAUAGUUCUCGAACCCGUAGGGUCCGCACGCUUAAAGUUUCGAUGACGAUUGUAUUAUGAGUUUAUGUGAUUUGAUGUACCGAAGGUAGUUCGGAGUCCGGGAUGAGAUCGGGGACAUGACGAGGAGUCUCGAAAUGGUCGAGACAUAAAGAUCGAUAUAUUGGACGACUAUAUUCGGAGAUCGGAAAGGUUCCGAGUGAUUCGGGUAUUUUCGGAGUACCGGGCGGUUACGGGAAUUCACCGAGAGAAGUAUUGGGCCUUAUUGGGCCAUACGGGAAUAGAGGAGAGAGGCCAAACGGAAGGAGGCGCCCCCCCUCUGGUCCGAAUUGGACAAGGGGUGCAGCCCCUUUUUCCUUCUCCCUCUCCCCCUCUUUCCUUCUCUCCUACUCCGGAAAGGAAAGGGGAAUCCUACUAGGACUUGGGAGUCCUAGUAGGACUCCCCACACUUGGCGCGCCCCCUCUAGGGCCGGCCUCUCCCUCCCUCCUUUAUAUACGGGGGCAGGGGGCACCUCUAGACACAACAAUUGAUCUCUUGAUCUCUUAGCCGUGUGCGGUGCCCCCCUCCACCAUAUUCUACCUCGGUCAUAUCGUAGCGGUGCUUAGGCGAAGCCCUGUGUCGGUAGCAUCAUCAUCACCGUCACCACGUCGUCGUGCUGACGGAACUCUCCCGUCAAGCUCUGCUGGAUCGGAGUUCGCGGGACGUCAUCGAGCUGAACGUGUGCUGAACUCGGAGGUGCCGUACGUUCGGUACUUGGAUCGGUCGGAUCGUGAAGACGUACGACUACAUCAACCGCGUUGUGCUAACGCUUCCGCUUUCGAUCUACAAGGGUACGAGGACAACACUCUCCCCUCUCGGUGCUAUGCAUCACCAUGAUCCUGUGUGUGCGUAGGAAAUUUUUUGAAAUUACUAUGUUCCCCAACAAACACUUAGAGAAGCACUGGCCCGAGGGUGUUAAGAUAAAGAUGACCCUCGGGUUGGCCGACCCAAGGGAAGGGUAAUAGGUUGUUAGGAAAAAGUAAAACCAAGGUUGGGCCUUGCUGGAGGAGUUUUAUUCAAAGCAAACUGUCAAGGGGUUCCCAUAACACCCAACCGCGUAAGGAACGCAAAAUCAAGGAACAUAACACUGGUAUGACGGAAACUAGGGCGGCAAGAGUGGAACAAAACACCAGGCAUAAGGCCGAGCCUUCCACCCUUACCAAGUGUAUAGAUGCAUUAAUUAAAUAUAAGAGAUAUUGUGAUAUCCCAACGAAGUUCAUGAUAUCCAUGUUCCAACAUGGAACAACCUGCAACUGCACCUGCAACUAGCAAUGCUAUAAGAGGGGCUGAGCAAACCGGUAACAUAGCCAAACAACGGUUUGCUAGGAAGGGUGAAAAGGUUAGAGGUUUCAUGGCAAUUUGGGAGGCUUGAUAACAAGUGGUAGGUAACGCGACAUAGCGAUAGCAUCAACACAACUAGCAUAGCAAUGAUAGUAGUGAGAUCAAAGGUGACGGUCAAUUUGCCUGGAAUCCCGCUAGGAAGAAGAACGAGUCCAUGAAGAAGAUGAAGCCACAUAUACGAACCAAGCGUAGACGAACGAAUCCUCACGAUCGCAACGAAACAGGAACUAACGGGAAGGAGCACAACCGGAAAGAAGCAAACAACAUGGUAAACACACAACACAUAAACAUGACAUGAUGCUCAACCAAGUAUGAUGUAUGACAAGUCUAUUUGAUGCUACUCAUGGCAAGAGACGAUGCAUCCAAGAGCAACACAACAAGGCAAGUUUAAAUGAGGCCGGAAACAACAUACAACAAUUCAUGUAAGUCCUCAUAUGCAAAUUUCGAAAUUGGUCAAGAUCUGAUUACAACACAAUGUUGAAGUUGUUAAACAUCAAGUUAAAAUGCACCAAGAUGAUCUACACUGUUUUGUAGUCAAGUUACAUAUAAAGUUUGUUUAAUUCGGAGCUACGGCCUAGAAGAUAUGAGCAAAACAAGUCAAACAUGGCAUUGAUGCAAAAAGCAUUCAAACAACAUCACAAACACUUCAAAAGAAGGAUGCAACAAGGUAACAUGAAACUACACACAAAAUUACGCAAGUUUCAUAUAGAGCAUGCUCAAAACGGAGCCACGGUGAAGCAUUACAAAACAUGAACACUGAGCUAUCUCUACAAACCACUAGAACAUGCUCAAAAAGACAUGGCAAUAUUGCAAAUAAUAACAUAUUCACAGACUUAGCAGAAAAUCACUGAGCAUGACAGAAAUAACAUCAGGUUGCAAUGUUUAGAGCUAUCAAACAAUAUGUUGCAGCAAGCUAUCAUGGCAAAAUUGAGCAUGGCAUGCUACUACUAAAAGCACUUAACAAAACAACCUUACUGAACUAAUUCCAAAGAUCAACAGAAAAGAUGGUAGCAUCCAUGAAAUCAUGGUAAGUGAUAUCACAUAUUCACACUUAAUAAUAGUACAUGGUAGGAACAACGAUAAGUAGGCAUGUUGGUGAGCUUUUACCACUAAUCACAAAGCAUUUCAUGGCAUAUGGAGUAACCAACAGUAAGAUGACACAAUUAUGAAACUAAGAAUAGCAAGAGCAAGUUCAUAGGAGGCAUGGAUCACUAGUAAAACGCAUGGAAGAACUAAACUUAAUGUUAACAGGCUGACAGCAACAUUAGGUAGCAAUUUUUUAGCAUGAUAACAACAAGCUAAAUCAAUCCAUAAUUGCAACCAAAGGAUUGGAUGGAUAGAGCAUAACAUGUAGAUCAAAAAAUCCUUAGUAAAUAUCUCUAGAUUAUGCAUAGAAUGACUUGUAGCAGUAGGUUUACAUAGCAUCAUGAUAUAACAGAUUCAGACUAGCAAAAACAGUAACAGCAAGUAGCCCAGUUCACAAGCUUGUUGCACUCACAACAAGGAACACAAAAAUACAUGAAUUGCACCACUGUAAAUAUGGCAUGAAUAUGCUCCUAAAAAUGUAUAUAUGAAGCACAUAGGAUGCACACACAAAAUGCAACAAAAAUAACAAAUCAGGAAGUUCUGUUGAACUACAGCAGACAACAUCAUAUAGCACUUUUGCAACGAUGAUAAGGGUAUCCAGAUUGACUCAAACGAGCAUGCCAUAAUGGAAUGAAAUGAAGAGCAUCUCACAGUGAACAUUUUGACAUAUUACAUGCACAGAACGGAGCAAUAUGCAAGGAGAUAGAGCCACCCAAACAUGCACACAUAUGAUGAUGUUUCAGGGACUUGGCAGAAUUUAUACCGACGAAAAACGGGACGACGUGAGGCAGGAUGGGGAGAUCCAGGGGGACGCGCGCCGUUUGGUUGGAGGAGGUGGUGGAUCUGGUCCACCUGACCAGAUCCAGGCGGCGGGGACCUCCGGCGAGGCUGACCGGAGACGGCGCGGCGGUGGAAGGCGAGCUCGCGCGCGGCGCGGCGAAGGCGGCNNNNNNNNNNNNNNNNNNNNNNNNNNNNNNNNNNNNNNNNNNNNNNNNNNNNNNNNNNNNNNNNNNNNNNNNNNNNNNNNNNNNNNNNNNNNNNNNNNNNNNNNNNNNNNNNNNNNNNNNNNNNNNNNNNNNNNNNNNNNNNNNNNNNNNNNNNNNNNNNNNNNNNNNNNNNNNNNNNNNNNNNNNNNNNNNNNNNNNNNNNNNNNNNNNNNNNNNNNNNNNNNNNNNNNNNNNNNNNNNNNNNNNNNNNNNNNNNNNNNNNNNNNNNNNNNNNNNNNNNNNNNNNNNNNNNNNNNNNNNNNNNNNNNNNNNNNNNNNNNNNNNNNNNNNNNNNNNNNNNNNNNNNNNNNNNNNNNNNNNNNNNNNNNNNNNNNNNNNNNNNNNNNNNNNNNNNNNNNNNNNNNNNNNNNNNNNNNNNNNNNNNNNNNNNNNNNNNNNNNNNNNNNNNNNNNNNNNNNNNNNNNNNNNNNNNNNNNNNNNNNNNNNNNNNNNNNNNNNNNNNNNNNNNNNNNNNNNNNNNNNNNNNNNNNNNNNNNNNNNNNNNNNNNNNNNNNNNNNNNNNNNNNNNNNNNNNNNNNNNNNNNNNNNNNNNNNNNNNNNNNNNNNNNNNNNNNNNNNCCCGCGGGCCAGCUGCGGGCUCGCGGGGCGCAGUGGAUCUGGCGACAUGGCGACCGCGGGUUGGGCGCGGGGGCGAUUGGACGUGUCCGGCCGCCGGGCGGACAUGUCCGGCGGCGCGGAGGGGGAGUAGCUAGGGUUCAUCCACGAAAAAAUGGAGGGGAGGUCCUAUUUAUAGCUAGAGGGAGUUAGGAGAGUCCAAAUGGGGAGCGGUUUUCGCCCACACGAUCAUGAUCCAGCGACCGAGAGCAUGGAGGGGGUUUGGAUGGGCUAAUGGGCUAUGGUGAAGAGGGGCUGGGCUGCAAAGAGAUAAGGGUUUCGAGGUUACACGGUUAACCGUUAGGGCGUCAAAGGACCUCUAAAUGGAACGAAAAUUGAGAGGCGGUCUACCUACUCUAAAACAACACCGGACGCCAAGUUUCAACCCAUUCCGAGAACAUUUUUUGGCCACUCAUAAAAUAAUAUUUUGGAGGUGCCGGGGGCGCGAGAGAGUGUCGGAACGCGAAACGGACAAUGGGGAAAAAGACCGGAUGCAAGUUUUGAAAAAUAUGAGGAUGCAAUGCAGAUGAUGACAUGGCAAAAUGCAACACACAAGCAAAUGACAUGGCAACGACGGUGAAUAACUGGAAGACACAUGGCGCAUCAGAUUCGGGGCGUUACAACUCUCCUCUACUAACAAGAGAUCUCGUCCCGAGAUCUUAGGACCGAGACGGAAGGAAAAGAGAAUGGGGUGAAGUAAGAACAAAAGAGAGAAGAUGAACCAAGUCGAGAGCACUCAGGUAGAAAAGAGGAAUGACGAUUAUGACGAGAGCCAAAAGCUCGAGGAACAAGAUAGACUCUGAAACCGCUCCGGUUAGAACAAGAUAGAAAAGGAAUAAUAACGAAGGAAUUUAGGCAGCACUCCGGCUGAACAUGUAAAGAAUAGAACAUGAACUUGAGAAGAUGGAAUGAUACUUGACGAGAGGAACAACACAGUGCCUCCGGAAGACUUGAAAGAGUGGAAUGAGAAGAACGGGGAAGAAGAUGACAACUUCUACCACGAAUGAAAUUGAAAGCAACCUUAGAAGGAAGGAUUGAACGGAGUUGUUGAGAAAAUUAACAACGAAAACAAUAAGCUUGUUGUGGACUUAUGGAUAACAUCUCAAAAAUUAUGAGGUGAUAACCGACCAUAAUCGGAAAAGAUUGAAUAGAUGAGAAGAACGAAGAAAUGCAAAACUCCACUUUAAAAGAAUACAGAGAAUUAAUUGCACCUCGGGAAGCAAGAAGAAGAAGAUACUUGCGCUCCUCCAGCAAGAAUCUUGAUGAACACUUGAAGAAAGAAUUAAAUCAUGAAGAACCACCAUGAAGAACUCCGGUAGCAAAAGGAUUAUGAGAUAGACUGAAGGAUGAAUAGAAUAUGAUUUAAGCCUUGCGAUGAUUUAGAUGGAGCUUCGUGUCGAGACAAGCGAGAAGCUUGGAACUCCGGAAGGGAAAAGAUGAACAACUUAUAACCAAGAGAUUAUUCAUCAAGAACAAUCUCCGAAAAGAAGAGAUAAAUCAACUUGAUGAAAGAAGAAUAAGAAUUAUGUUAUGCUCAUCCUCCACCAAUUAAAUUGAUGAGAAGCAAUGGAAUGCAUACAACUUAUUCACAUUGGGAAAAGAUUAAGGGGACAUAUAGCACAACACUUGGGGAGGUCUUGAAGAACCACCGGUAGGAUUGGAAAGAAACGAAUGAAUUGAUAUGAUAACCACAGAAAAGAAAUCUUGAACGAACCACCGUAAGAAUUCAAAAUUGAAUGACGAAGGAGAAUGAAUCACCGGGAAGAAUUGAAACGGAUGAUGAAACAGAAUGGCUCUCCUGGAAACAUUAAAAGGCGCACGAAUAUACUUGAAGGAAUUCUUACACAAGAGAAUGAAGAGAUCAUGAGCUGACUAGAGGAUAUUUGAAUGAUGCACCGGAAGACUAUUGGGACGAACGAAGGGGCACGGAUAUAGAAUAAUUGGAGAACGAAUCUGAAAACUUAGAAUGAAGAAAUCUUCUGAAAUGAUGGCCUCCGGAUGAUCGAGAGAGAAAGCAACUCCUGAAAUACUCCGGAUGGACGAAAAGAAUUGCACGACUGGAAACAAUUUGAGGAUAGCAACAAGCUAGCACCACGAAUCUCCGUGAGAACGGACAAGAUUUAGAGGAAAAACUCUUCUUCGGUCUUCACAUAAUGAGAAUGACGACGAGAAACACCUUGCAGAAUUUGUUGAAACACUCCGGAAGAAUGAAAAGAGGACAGAUUGACCCGAACAUGAAAGAAUUUGAAAACGAUCUUGGAGAAGGCAUCUGAGUCAUGGAAUCCAUACUUACGUCAAACUUCGAAAGAAAGGAUUUGAGAAAAGCUCCGGGAAAAUUAGAAGAGUCAGGUAAGAUCCUGGAAAAAGACCUGUGGGUUAGGGCCCGCUGAAAAGAAACAUCGUUGGGAGGGAUUGAAGAAUAGAAAUGAUGCACUGGAAUAGCUGAAAGACUCGAAUGAGGUGAUAACCUCGAAUUAAUUGAAUGCAGACAUGAAUCUUCUGAGAUGUCUUCAUCACUCCAGAACGAUUAAAUGACGAGAGGUGAACGAGCAACGGGAAACAUUUGAGCUAAGGGAAAGAAUAUAAUCACUACCGAAAAUUGGAAUUGAAUCCACCGUAAAGAAAACGAGACGAAUAAUGAUGAACUUGACGAGACUUCACCGGUUGAGACAAUUGAGGAAAGAUUGAAGAGGCUCCGCACGAAUGAAAUUGAUGCUCGANNNNNNNNNNNNNNNNNNNNNNNNNNNNNNNNNNNNNNNNNNNNNNNNNNNNNNNNNNNNNNNNNNNNNNNNNNNNNNNNNNNNNNNNNNNNNNNNNNNNNNNNNNNNNNNNNNNNNNNNNNNNNNNNNNNNNNNNNNNNNNNNNNNNNNNNNNNNNNNNNNNNNNNNNNNNNNNNNNNNNNNNNNNNNNNNNNNNNNNNNNNNNNNNNNNNNNNNNNNNNNNNNNNNNNNNNNNNNNNNNNNNNNNNNNNNNNNNNGACUCCGGGAAGAAAAACGGGUGGGAGGGCGGGUAAAACAGAGGCAACUUGGAACGGGGAACCGACGAAUAACUUGAAGAGAAAACACUGGUUGAAAUAAUUGAGGAAAGAAUGCAAAGGCUUUGCACGAGUAGGGUGGAUACUCGAUUACGAACUCCGGCUCCGAGAAGAAGAAGGGUGGGCGGGUGGGAAAAGAAAGACAACUUCACACGGGGAACAACGUCGUUGAGAAAGAACUGAGGGCUGAUCUUGCAAAAGAUGAAGGGGAUCGCAUCAACUUGACGAGAAAAGCACCGUAUGAAAAGAGCUGGCAUCGCAACGAACGAGAACUAACCGCGAGAUCCUAAAAAAAAUUUGAAGGGGAAGAGGAGUAAGUCGAAACACCUACGUUAAGAUUCCUCACCAGAGCGACGAAGGGGCAGAGGAGUAAAAAGAAGUCCUACUCUCCGAUAUAACUAGACUCCAAAAAGUUUUCUUCUAGACUCGACAGCGGCCAAGCUACACGAUCAAACAAGGGGGGCUCCUAAGGUCGGUCGAGGCUCUGAUACCAACUUGCCACGCCCAAUAUGCGAUACUAUCCUAAAGAGACUCGAAGGUCCCACCAAGGAUAGAACCGCAUAUUGACACGCUUUUGCAAGGUGGAUAUCAUUACAUCAAACCAUUACAUAAAUAGUUGGGGAUACAUACAAAGGCACAAACGCCCCAAGAAUACAUCAACAUCAUUCAAGAGAACAACAUCCGCCUACGGGUGAAACACAAACAGGAACUCAAACAAUAUCCACUCUGCUAGCCCAGGCUGCCGACCCGGAACCUAACCCAAGAUCGACGAAGAAGAAGAACUCCAACACAAGUAAACAUCGCUCUCGCGUCAUGAUCAUCGCAUAACCUGUACCUGCAACUGUUGUUGUAGUAAUCUGUGAGCCACGAGGACUCAGCAAUCCCAUUACCAUGGGUAUCAAGACUAGCAAAGCUUAAUGGGUAAGGAAGGGGUAAAGUGGUGAGGUUGCAGCAGCGACUAAGCAUGUAUGGUGGCUAUCUUAUGAAUACAAGAGUAAGAUGAGAAGCUACGCAAACGGUCGCAAACUAGAAAUGAUCAAGAAGUGAUCCUGUACUACUACUUAUGUCAAACAUAACCCAAAAACCGUGUUCUCCUCUCGAACAAUCCCGAAAAGAGACAAUCACGGUUACGCACGCGGUUGGUGUAUUUUAGAAGAGUUUACUUCAAGUUUACUACAACCGGAUAUUAACAAAUUCCCAUCUGCCACAUAACCGUGGGCACGGCUCUCGAAAGUUUAUACCCUGCAGGGGUGUCCCAACUUAGCCCAUCACAAGCUCUCACGGUCAACGAAGGAUAUUCCUUCUCCCGGGAAGACCCAAUCAGUCUCGGAAUCCCGGUUACAAGACAUUUCGACAAUGGUAAAACAAGACCAGCAAAGCCACCCGAUGUGUCGACAAUCCCGAUAGGAGUCGCACGUAUCUCGUUCUCAGGACACACCGGAUAGGUCAAGCUACGAGUAAAACCAGCCCUCAAGUUGCCCCGAGGUGGCCCCGCAGGCUGCCCGGUUCGGACCAACACUUAGAGAAGCAUUGGCCCAGGGGGGUUAAAAUAAAGAUGACCCUCGGGUUGGCCGACCCAAGGGAAGGGUAAUAGGUUGUUAGGCAAAAGUAAAACCAAGGUUGGGCCUUGCUGGAGGAGUUUUAUUCAAAGCAAACUGUCAAGGGGUUCCCAUAACACCCAACCGCGUAAGGAACGCAAAAUCAAGGAACAUAACACCGGUAUGACGGAAACUAGGGCGGCAAGAGUGGAACAAAACACCAGGCAUAAGGCCGAGCCUUCCACCCUUACCAAGUGUAUAGAUGCAUUAAUUAAAUAUAAGAGAUAUUGUGAUAUCCCAACAAAGUUCAUGAUAUCCAUGUUCCAACAUGGAACAACCUGCAACUGCACCUGCAACUAGCAACGCUAUAAGAGGGGCUGAGCAAACCGGUAACAUAGCCAAACAACGGUUUGCUAGGAAGGGUGAAAAGGUUAGAGGUUUCAUGGCAAUUUGGGAGGCUUGAUAACAAGUGGUAGGUAACGCGACAUAGCGAUAGCAUCAACACAACUAGCAUAGCAAUGAUAGUAGUGAGAUCAAAGGUGACGGUCAAUUUGCCUGGAAUCCCGCUAGGAAGAAGAACGAGUCCAUGAAGAAGAUGAAGCCACAUAUACGAACCAAGCGUAGACGAACGAAUCCUCACGAUCGCAACGAAACAGGAACUAACGGGAAGGAGCACAACCGGAAAGAAGCAAACAACAUGGUAAACACACAACACAUAAACAUGACAUGAUGCUCAACCAAGUAUGAUGUAUGACAAGUCUAUUUGAUGCUACUCAUGGCAAGAGACGAUGCAUCCAAGAGCAACACAACAAGGCAAGUUUAAAUGUGGCCGGAAACAACAUACAACCAUUCCGGUAAGUCCUCAUAUGCAAAUUUCGAAAUUGGUCAAGAUCUGAUUACAACACAAUGUUGAAGUUGUUAAACAUCAAGUUAAAAUGCACCAAUAUGAUCUACACUGUUUUGUAGUCAAGUUACAUAUAAAGUUUGUUUAAUUCGGAGCUAUGGCCUAGAAGAUAUGAUCAAAACAAGUUAAACAUGGCAUUGAUGCAAAAAGCAUUCAAACAACAUCACAAACACUUCAAAACAAGGAUGCAACAAGGUAACAUUAAACUACACACAAAAUUAUGCAAGUUCCAUAUAGAGCAUGCCCAAAACGGAGGCACGGUUCAACACACACACAUGAAACAAGUUUGAAGGACAAACUGUCCAAAACAGCAACUAGGCAUCUUGCAAGCAUCAAAACAGCAUGCUACAGCACCUCAGCAUGAAAAUAAAAGGCAUGGACAUGAUGUACAUGUGAAGCAUUACAAAACAUUAACACUGAGCUAUCUCUACAAACCACAAUAACAUCCUCAAAAGGACACGGCAAUAUUGCAAAUAAUAACAGAUUCACAGACAGCAGAAAAAUCACUGAGCAUAACAGAAAUAACAUCAGGUUGCAAUGUUUAGAGCUAUCAAAAAACAUGUUACAGCAAGCUAUCAUGGCAAAAUGGAGCAUGGCAUGCUAGUACUAGAAGCACUUAACAAAACCCCCUUACCGAACUAAUUCGAAAGAUCGAAAGAAAAGAUGGUAGCAUCCAUGCAAACAUGGUAAGUGAUAUCACAGAUUCAGACUGAAAAUAACAGUACAUGGCAGGAACAAUGAUAAGUACGCAUGUUGGUGAGCUUUUACCACUAAACAAAAAGCAUUUCAUGGUAUAUGAAGUAAACCAACAGUAAGAUGACACAAUUAUGAAACUAAGCAUGCCAAGAUCAAGUUCAUAGGGUGCAUGGAUCACUAGCAAAACACAUGGAAAAACUGAACUUAAUGUUAACAGGCUGACAGCAACAUUAUGUAGCAAGUUUGGAGCAUGAUAACAACAAGCUAAAGCAAUCCAUAAUUGCAACAAAGGGUAAGCAUGGAUAGAUCAUAAUAUGUAGAGCAAAAAAUCCUUAGUGAAUAUCUCCAGAUUAUGCAUAGAAUGACUUAUAGCAGCAGGUUUACAUAGCAUCAUGAUAUAACAGAUUCAGACUAGCAAAAACAGUAACAGCAAGUAGCCCAGUUCACAAGCUUGUUACACUCACCACAAGGCACACAAAAAUACAUCGAUUGCACCACUGUAAAGAUGGCAUGAAUAUGCUCCUAAAAGAUGUAGACAUCAAGCACAUAGGAUGCACACAUAAAAUGCAACAAAAAUGACAAAUCAGCAAGUUCUGUUGAACUACAGCAGACAACAUCAUGUAGCACUUUCGAAACGAUGAUAAGGGCAUCAAGAUGGACUCAAACAAGCAUGCCACAAUGGAAUGAAAUGAAGAGCAUCUCACAGUGAACAUUUUGACAUAUUACACACACAAAACGGAGCAAUGUGCAAGGAAAUAGAGUCACCCAAACAUGCACACAUAUGAUGAUUUUUCAGGGACAGCAGAAUUUAUACCGACAAAAAACGGGACGACGUGAGGCGGGAUGGGGAGAUCCAAGGGGAGGCGCGCCGUUUGGUUUGAGGAGGUGGUGGAUCUGGUCCACCUGACCAGAUCCAGGCGGCGGGGACCUCCGGCAAGGCUGACCGGAGACGGCGCGGCGGCGGAAGGCGAGCUCGCGCGCGGCACGGCGGAGGCGGCGGGCCGGCGNNNNNNNNNNNNNNNNNNNNNNNNNNNNNNNNNNNNNNNNNNNNNNNNNNNNNNNNNNNNNNNNNNNNNNNNNNNNNNNNNNNNNNNNNNNNNNNNNNNNNNNNNNNNNNNNNNNNNNNNNNNNNNNNNNNNNNNNNNNNNNNNNNNNNNNNNNNNNNNNNNNNNNNNNNNNNNNNNNNNNNNNNNNNNNNNNNNNNNNNNNNNNNNNNNNNNNNNNNNNNNNNNNNNNNNNNNNNNNNNNNNNNNNNNNNNNNNNNNNNNNNNNNNNNNNNNNNNNNNNNNNNNNNNNNNNNNNNNNNNNNNNNNNNNNNNNNNNNNNNNNNNNNNNNNNNNNNNNNNNNNNNNNNNNNNNNNNNNNNNNNNNNNNNNNNNNNNNNNNNNNNNNNNNNNNNUCGAAGGGCGGCGCGGGCGCGGACCAGCGGGCGGCGGCGGUCGGGCCCCGCGGGCCGGUUGCGGGCUCGCGGGCCGCGGUAGGGCGCGGUGGAUCUGGCAACGUGGCGGCCGCGGGUUGGGUGUCGUGGUUCUAAGUCUGACAGUAGAAUGGGGGUAGGGAUGUAAAGGCAAGGUCCUAGCUAGGGAGAAGCUGUACGCACGAGUUUUACGAGUUCAGGUCCUUCUCGGAGGAAGUAACAGCCCUACGUCUUGGAGCCCGGAGGUGGUCGACUGGAUUAUAUGCGUGUGUGUUACAAGGGGUGCGAACCCUUGUGCCAGUGGAGGGGGUGGCUUAUAUAGAGUGCGCCAGGACCCCAGCCAGUCCACAUUACAAGGAGUUCAAUGUUCAUAAAGUAGGAGCGUUACAGGUAACGUCUGCAGUAAAGUAAUAUAAAUGACUAUUAAGUCUAAGAGUAAAUGCCCGACCGUUGCUGCGAGGAGUGGCUUUAGGUCUUCUGCACGUCGAGUGGUUUAGUGGUCGAGUGACAUAAACAAGGGGGGUCUCUGAGUGAAUGGUAGGUCGAGUGGAUUGCACUCGACACAUUUGUUGGGUCCCCUCUAUUUACUCCUGAACCUCUUUGCUUCUAGGACAAGGACCUUAGGUAGGAGGUAUAGGUCAGGCCUAUUACCCUACCCCAGGUCUAUGUCCUCAUCAUUAGCCCCCGAAUGGAUUGAGGUCCGAGUGAAAAGAAGGUUGAAGUUGACCUUGCUCUGGCUCUUGCUUUCUCCUCCAAAUGGAUGCCAGUUGUUGGGACUUCGGCUUCGUUUCAGUCGCCUUGAUCGAUUCAGAAAUGAUCGACUGGUUUUAUAACGUCAUCUGUCGAGUGUUAUCUUUGACAUAGAAUCUUUGGCGUGAUCGGUUGUAGAGGAUCCCGGAUUUCGCGGGAUUCGAAAUUUUGGUGGGAGCACGCCGUGGUAAGCGGAGUAGAUAAGCAUGACGUUUCGAUUUCCGCGCCACCUUUUUCGCCACGUAUCCCGUGUGCGACUGUUAAGGGAUUUGAUAGGAUCGCCCGGACCCACGCGUCAGCCACUCGGAAGUAGGCCCUUAAAAGCGGCGAGGCCGAGGCGUCCACACUGUGCGUGCCCAUUCUCCCUCUUCUUCCUCUUGCUCCUUUUCCUCGUUCGGCUUCUCCACCCUCGACGCCGCCGCUCUGCCGCCAUGGGGAAGGAGAAAACGGCGGCGCUGAAACGCGCGAAGAAGGCGACGGGGGCGGCAAAAAGCAAGAAGACGAAUCGGGGAUCUUCAUCGCGCUCGGGGCUGCCGUCGGGUUGGAUCCAGGGAGAUUGGAUCCGAUCUUCACUUCAGUAGGAAGACUUGGACGAUAUGGCCGAGCUAGGGCUGAUCGUCCACGAGUCUGCGCGGCUGCUGGAGGGGGAAACGGAGCCACAGCCGCGACCGGGUGAGUGUGUUCUGCUCGCUACUCAUGUCGACCGCGGCUUCUCGCUUCCUCCGCACCCCUUCUUUCGAGGUUUCUUGAUUUUUUAGGGGCUCAACUCCAUCACUUCACUCCCAACACCAUCACAUAUCUUGCCGCAUUCGUUUCCAUGUGCGAGAAUUUCCUGGGGUGUCGACCGCACUGGGGUCUUUUCAAGCACAUUUUCACUAUCUGCUCCCAAACAGUGAAGAAAGCGAACUUGAACAACGAGAAAACCCAUGUUAUCCAGAUGUGUGGGGGUCUGGGUAUUCAGAAGAGGAAGAGGAUUUCUUUCCCUCCGAUGACUCUUCCUGAGUCCGUCAGGGGCUGGCAGUCGACCUGGUUCUAUUGCCAGGAUAUUGCGACCCCAGGUCACUCGACUAGACUUCCCCCUUUCUCUUUUGAUCGUGUUCAGACUCCAUCUUCGUUGAAAGUGACCGCCGCGGAGAAGGCGGAGACGGGCAUGUUGGUCGAGAGGGUAGUUCAAUUGAUCAACCAAGGCGUCACCGGCAUGGAUCUACUAGAGGUGUUCCUCAGUCGGCGCAUUCAACCACUCCAUGUGGAUGUACUCCGGGGCUGGUGAUACCGCUCGGGUUCAUCCGGAGGAGGUGACGGCCAAAGCAGUGGCCGAGUGGCUGAGCGGCAUCACCGGGAACAAGGACAACCCCAGGGACGCUAGGAGAGUCAAACCUUUCAGCGACAGCAACCAGCCAGACAAGGUUUGGCCAUUACAACUGGUUGAAUUUGGAUGUGUUUUCUGACUAUUUGUUGAUCCGACUGAUUUCCACUCGGCUCCUUGUUUUGUAGAUUUAUACAGAGAUGUACUCAAUGCCCAAUGGCGAACAAGCUCUGGAGCAGUACCAUGAAGGCGAGGACAGCGCGGAGGAGAGCGGCGAGUGGGAGUCACCAGCCGACGGUGAUGAAGAUGAGAACGAUGAGUCGGACGACGAGGUGGUAGCCGACUCACCACCUCAUUCUGAACGUUGAUCCAAGCAGCACCAUGAUCCCGCGGGCAGGCGCGGCAAGGCUGUGGCCUCGAGCGCUCCAUCUCAAAAGCGCGCCCGGUCUUCGACUCCAGAAUUGGCUGAGAAGGUCACCAAGCAGCCCAAGAUCAAUCCUUCGAAGGCUCCGAAGACCUUGCGUAGGAUCAAGAUGGACGUUCCUGUUGCUUCUGGGUAAAUGUUCUCUCCGUAUUUUCUUGUUCUGACCGAUUCUCUUGUACUGACGGAGUGGAUGAUGAAACUUUACAGCCCGGCCUCGGCUGCGACUGAUAUGGAUAUCGACAAGACCCCAGACAAUGAGGAAACCGACGACGCAGCUACCUCCAAAGCCAGUAAGUCUGCCCGACUCGAGUUUGCUUGGACGACUGGAUUGUUUGUCAGCUAUCUCCUUGACUUUAUUUGUUUGUUGCAGCGCCACGGGACGUUGUUGUGCUCCCGGACGAUGAAGAAGAAGUACCGCUGAGGGGAAGGAGGAGGAGGGACAAGGAACUAAGCGGGAAAGCGCCUGAGAUGGCAGUCGAACGAUGGUCAGAUCCGGCACGUACCAACGUCACUUUCGCUAUCCCGCUGUCGACUGAUUGCCCAUCAGGAUCAGCUGCUCAGACUUCUGCUGUACCAAUACAACCCCACGCAUCAGACCCAGCGGUUGCUCCGGCUGCUCUGCCAUCAUCGCUUUUCACUGCGUAUCAAACCCCAGACGACCCACUGUCUGCCGCCAAGGAAGCUCUUCUUCAGUUGAACCUUGUGAUGGGGCAGAUGAAAGUGGUGCAUGAGGCCAGUCAAGUGGCCUUCAACGCUGGAGCUGCUUUGCAGACCAAUGUCCAGGUUAGUUGAUUUCCGAUUGAUCAUAUUUCUCGUCCGAUCACCCACUGGGGUGUGACUGUUUUGAAUUUGCACGAGUCAAUUUCAGUCGUCUUGGAUUGAAUCUUUGAACUAGUGGGGGCACUCUUAGUGCACCCACUGGGUGUAGUCCCCGAGACCAUAGUUGACUGCGGGCAGUCGACUGUGGUCUGAGAAUCUGAAUUUUGUCACUCGGUCUGGACUGGCCAGGUCGAAUGACACUAGAACCAGUGGGGGCACGCUAAGUGCACCCACUGGGUGUAGUCCCCGAGACCGUGGUUGACUGCGGGCAGUCGACUAUGGUCUGAGAACUGCUUUUUUUUUACUCUCGCACUGGGCAGACCAUGUCGAGUGUUUAUUCAAACCAGUGGGGGCACGCCAAGUGCACCCACUGGGUGUAGUCCCCGAGACUGCCGUUGAAUGUUUGAUUCGGCGGUAGUCUUAGAGUAGCUAUCACUGUGAUGUCUUUUAAUCCUGGUCAACUGAUAUGGCUUAAACUGCAGAAAUCUUGUGAUCUUGGGGCUCAGCUUUCCGCAAUGAACAAGUAGCAAAUCAGCCUCAACCUUGAUCUGGAAUUGGCCCAGAAGAAUCUCAAGACUGCUCGUGAUGAAGUAGCUUCCAUGGGAGGUAACCAAUCGUCAACUGUCUUUCUCACUGCCGGCCCUUUUCCUUUCCAUUUUUUGAACCGAGCGACUCCACUCGAGCAGAUGUAUGUAGUGAAAACCGUCAACUCCAAGCCCGUCUGAAGAAUGUUAUUUCUUUAGAGAAAAUGAAGCAGGCUUUGGAGAAGAAGGAUCUGGAUCUUGCUGCUGCACAGAAGGAAGCGCGAGAGAAAACAGCGCUUGCUGACAAGAAGCUUGCUUCAGUCGGCAAGUUAGAAGAGGAGAACUCCAAACUAAAGGCCGUUGUCUCUGACGCCAAUCGGGAGGUCGAGCGACUGAAGAAAGACAAGGACAAGUUGACUGACGAGCUUGGGAGCCUCAAGGCCAAGAAGGGCGAGUUGGAGUCUUAUCUGGGCCAGCUUGCUGCAAAGCUGGUCCUAAAACUUGAAGGUACUGAUGAUUGACUGACUUAUUACGGUCGAUUGUCCAGCUUGAUUAUAUCGUCGACUCAUCAUUUACUCGACUGUGCAGAGCUUUGCCAAGACUUUGAAGCGGAAACUGGGCGGGUCGAGACGGGUCUCGAUCCCGUAAAUUGUCCAGUCAAGGAUGAUGUUGCGAUGAAUGUGCUGCGGUUGGAAUCUCGCAUGGACAGCGCGGUUGCUUAUCUUGCUCGCCUGAAGGCAGCGAUGACUCGGGUUGAUGCUGAACUCUGGCCUCAGGCGGAACUGUCUCAAGAUCUCGAGUCUCUGAUGGCUCGACUGAAUCAAAUACCUGACCGAGUGCAAGAGUGGAAGAAGUCAUCUGCUCGUUGUGGCGCUGAUGUCGCGUUGUCCUUGGUCCGAGUGCACUGCAAAGACGUCAAAGAAGACAAGAUGGCGGAGCUCAAGGUUGCUAACACAAAGAAGCACACCUUCCAAUCCUUCAUGGACACUUUUCUUGACGCUGCCACUCGCAUUGCAGACAGCAUAGACCUUGGCAGUUUCUGCGACCCAGCCAGUCCUUCUCCUGACGCGUGACCGAAAAACAUUAUGCUCCACCUUUAUUUGCCUCGGAAUGCCGAGUGAUUGUGUAAUCGUUAAACUUCUUCGGGCUUGGUGCUCGAAUACUUUUGAUCCGUCGUCCGGAACUUUAGGAUUUAUCUGAACUUGGUUUAUCUCUGAAUAUGCUUGUGUUUGCCUCCGAGUGGAUUUUGCUCUUCAAUUGGAAUAAUCUUUGUACUUGAGAUGCAGCUAUUGUACUUAUGGCGCAGCUUCGAAGGAGAAGGUCGCAGUCAACCUGCACCUCGUCGUCCUUACGGAUAGGGAAGGAGCACACGUUGUUCUUGUGGCGCUGCUCCGAAGGAGAAGGUUGCAGUCGACCUGCGCCUCGUCGUCCUUGCGGAUAGGGAUGGAGCGCACAUUGUACUUGUGGCGCAGCUCCGAAGGAGAAGGUUGCAGUCGACCUGCACCUCGUCGUCCUUGCGGAUAGGGAUGGAGCGCACAUUGUACUUGUGACGCAGCUCCGAAGGAGAAGGUUGCAGUCGACCUGUGCCUCGUCGUCCUUGCGGAUAGGGAUGGAGCGCACAUUGUACUUGUGGCGCAGAUCCAAAGGAGAAGGUUGCAGUCGACCUGCACCUCGUCGUCCUUGCAGACGGGGAUGGACUUCGAACUUAGGCGAGUACUAGACUGCAGCUAAGCCCCCGAGUGGGAGGGUUGCUCACCACUCGGUAGGAUUUUNNNNNNNNNNNNNNNNNNNNNNNNNNNNNNNNNNNNNNNNNNNNNNNNNNNNNNNNNNNNNNNNNNNNNNNNNNNNNNNNNNNNNNNNNNNNNNNNNNNNNNNNNNNNNNNNNNNNNNNNNNNNNNNNNNNNNNNNNNNNNNNNNNNNNNNNNNNNNNNNNNNNNNNNNNNNNNNNNNNNNNNNNNNNNNNNNNNNNNNNNNNNNNNNNNNNNNNNNNNNNNNNNNNNNNNNNNNNNNNNNNNNNNNNNNNNNNNNNNNNNNNNNNNNNNNNNNNNNNNNNNNNNNNNNNNNNNNNNNNNNNNNNNNNNNNNNNNNNNNNNNNNNNNNNNNNNNNNNNNNNNNNNNNNNNNNNNNNNNNNNNNNNNNNNNNNNNNNNNNNNNNNNNNNNNNNNNNNNNNNNNNNNNNNNNNNNNNNNNNNNNNNNNNNNNNGGCUUGCUCAUUACUCGGUGGGAUUUUUCAAACUUAGGCGAUUACUGGACUGCAGCUAAGCCCCCGAGUGAGAAGGUUGCUCAACACUCGGUAGGAUUUUUCAAACUUAGGCGAGUACUGGACUGCAGCUAAGCCCCCGAGUGGGAGGGUUGCUCACCACUCGGUAGGAUUUUUCAAACUUAGCCGAGUACUGGACUGCAGCUAAGCCCCCGAGUGGGAGGGUUGCUCACCACUCGGUAGGAUUUUUCAAACUUAGGCGAGUACUGGACUGCAGCUAAGCCCCCGAGUGAGAGGGUUGCUCACCACUCGGUGGGAUUUUUCAAACUUAGGCGAAACGGAUUCACGGCAAAGUCACCCACUGGGGGAUUUCAGACGCAAACAAAAGUAACAACAACCAUUUAGGAAGACUGUAAAGCUCUUGUCUUUGAUAAACAAACUACAAAGGUAUUUAUUAUUACAUCUCAUCCGAAUGAGUACUUAAGUAUAAAAGGGGCGGAGUAGCUCCGCGUUCCAAGCCCGUGGCUCGUCUUUCUGAUGCUCGACAUUGUAAAGAUGGUAUGCUCCAUUAUGGAGAACUCUGGUGACAAUGAAGGGACCUUCCCAAGUAGGGGCGAGCUUGUGUGGUUUCUGCUGAUCCACUCGAAGAACCAAGUCUCCCUCUUGAAAGGCUCGGCCCCUCACGUUUCUGGCGUGGAAUCGACGCAAGUCUUGCUGAUAAAUGGUCGACCGGAUUAAGGCCAUCUCUCUUUCCUCCUCUAGGAGAUCGGCUGCGUCCUGCCGGGCCUAUUCUGCUUCAUCUUCAGAGAAGAGCUCGACUCGGGGUGCAUUGUGAAGCAAGUCACUCGGUAGAACAACUUUAGCUCCAUAAACCAAGAAGAAUGGAGUUCGGCCAGUCGACCGAUUGGGAGUUGUCCUCAAUCCCCAAAGAACUGACUGAAGUUAAGUUCAUCAACCCGGGCGCCUGCUGCAUGCUUGAGAUCACGCAUCAGUCGGGGUUUCAGUCCUUUGAGAAUCAAGCCAUUUGCUCUUUCUGCUUGUCCAUUCGACUGGGGGUGGGCGACUGAAGCAUAGUCGACUCGUGUGCCUUGGGAAGCACAGAAAGCUCUGAACUCAUCAGAAUCGAAGUUCGACCCGUUGUCAGUGAUGAUGCUGUGCGGAACUCCAUAUCUGAAUGUCAAUUCUCUGAUGAAGCUGACGGCAGUACUGGCUUCAAGAUUCUUGAUAGGCUUGGCUUCAAUCCACUUGGUAAACUUGUCGACUGCUACAAGCACAUGAGUGAAGCCGCUCCUACCAGUCCUCAGGGGUCCGACCAUAUCCAAUCCCCAAACGGCAAAGGGCCAGACGAGUGGAAUAGUCUUUAGGGCUGACGUGGGCUUGUGGGACAUAUUGGAGUAAAACUGGCAGCCUUCACAUUUGUCGACUAUAUCUUUCGCCAUUUCGUUUGCUCGUGGCCAAUAAAAUCCGGCUCGGUAUGCUUUGGCCACAAUGGUCCGAGAGGACGCAUGGUGACCACAGGUCCCCGAGUGGAUGUCGUUGAGGAUCACUUGACCUUCUUCUGGUGUGAUGCAUUUCUGGCUGACUCCGGUUACACUUUCCCUAAACAGUUGUCCUUUUAUCACAGUAAAGGCUUUGGAUCGACGGACGAUCUGUCGAGCCUCUUCUUCAUCCUCUGGGAGUUCUUUCCUAAGGAUAUACGCAAUGUAUGGCACUGUCCAGUCGGGAGUGAUGACCAAAACCUCCAUGAUCAGGUCGACCACGGCUGGGACUUCGACUUCAGUCGGAUCUGUGGCGCUCUUAGGCUGCGGGGGCUCUUCAGUGAAAGGAUCUUCUUGAACUAAAGGUGUAUGAAUGUGUUCCAAAAACACGUUGCUGGGAAUGGCUUCCCUCUUGGAACCUAUCUUUGCUAGAUCAUCGGCUGCUUGAUUUUUCAGUCGGGGUAUAUGAUGGAGCUCUAACCCCUCAAAUUUCUUUUCCAACUUCCUCACCGCAUUGCAGUAACCAGUCAUAGCUGGGCUUCUGACGUCCCACUCCUUCAUCACUUGAUUGACUACCAAAUCUGAGUCUCCAUAGACCAUGAGGCGACGGACGCCGAGUGAGAUGGCCAUACGUAACCCAUAUAAGAGUGCUUCAUAUUCUGCUUCGUUAUUGGAGGAAUCAAAGUGAAUCUGGAGAACAUAUCUGAGCUUGUCUCCUCGGGGAGAUACCAGUACCACCCCAGCACCGGAACCAUUCAGCAUCUUGGAACCGUCAAAGAACAUGGUGCAGUGCUCCGAGUGGACUUGAGUUGGCAGUUGCUGUUCGAUCCACUCGGCGAGGAAAUCUGCUAUUGCUUGGGACUUGAUAGCUUUCUUUGCCUCAAACUUAAUAUCCAAGGGAGAAGUUCAAUUGCCCACUUUGCCACUCGACCAGUUGCAUCUUUGUUGUUCAGAAUCUCUGCUAAUGGAGCAUCGCUGACGACUAUAAUGGAGUGGUCAGAGAAAUAAUGUGCAACCUUCUUCGUGGUCAUAUAAAUCCCAUAAACAAGCUUCUGAUAAUGUGGAUAUCUUUGCUUUGAUGGAGUCAAAACUUCAGAAACAUAAUAUACUGGGCGCUGAACUUUAUAGGCUUUUCCUUCUUCUUCCCGCUCGACCGGAAGUACUGUACUGACGACUUGUCCAGUGGCUGCAAUGUAAAUCAGUAAAGGCUCUUUGCUGAUUGGGGCAGCAAGCACCGGCUGGGUGAAAAGCAGGGCUUUGAGCUCUGCAAAUGCUGUAUCAGCUUCAGGAGUCCACUCGAACUUAUCAGACUUCUUCAUCAGUCGGUAAAGAGGCAAUGCCUUUUCACCGAGGCGAGAAAUGAAUCGACUUAAGGCGGCCAAACAACCCGUAAGCUUCUGAACAUCGUGCACACGCACAGGGCGUUUCAUUUGGAGAAUGGCACCGACUUUCUCUGGGUUAGUGUCGAUCCCUCAUUCGGAAACGAGAAAACCGAGUAAUUUUCCGCCCGAAACUCCGAAUGUGCACUUUGAUGGAUUAAGCUUGAUAUCAUACCUUCUGAGGUUGGCAAAAGUUUCAGCUAGGUCAGCCAACAGGUCGGAACCUUUACGUGACUUGACCACAAUGUCAUCCAUGUAUGCUUCCACAUUCCGACUGAUUUGAGUGAGUAAACACUUCUGAAUCAUCCUCAUGAAUGUGGCUCCAACAUUCUUCAGGCCGAAUGGCAUGGUGACAUAACAGAAGCACCCAAAUGGAGUGAUGAAAGCUGUUUUUAUCUCAUCGGGUCCAUACAGUCGGAUAUGAUGAUACCCGGAAUAAGCGUCCAAAAAGGACAAGCGCUCACACCCUGCAGUCGAGUCGACUAUUUGAUCGAUGCUGGGUAGAGGAAAGUGAUCUUUCGGGCAGGCUCGAUUGAUAUGCUUGAAGUCAAUGCACAUGCGAAGUGAGUCGUCCUUCUUGGGGACCAUGACAACAUUGGCUAACCACUCGGAGUGGUAAAUCUCUCGGAUAAACUCAGCUGCUAGGAGCCGAGCUACUUCUUCACCGAUCGCUUUUCUCUUCUGUAUGGCGGACCGUCGAAGAUGUUCUUUGACUGGUUUCACUUUUGGGUUGACUCGCAAACGGUGCUCAGCCAGCCCCCUGGGAACACCCGGCAUGUCAGAAGGUUUCCAUGGAAAGAUGUCCCAGUUCUCACGGAGGAACUGGAUGAGUGCUUCUUCCUAUUUGGAGUCGAGCGUUGUCGAAAUGUGAGUCGGAGCAGCAUUGGGAUCAGUCGGGUGAAUAUGAAUCGGCUUCGUUUCACCAGACGGCUGAAAUGCUGAAUCCGUGGCAGGCUUCUUUGCUUGCAACAAAUCACUCGGAUCUGCAUUCUUUUGAUACUCCUGCAAUUCCACUACUGCCAUUUGUGCAUCGGCGAUCUUUGAGCCCUUCUGGAAGCACUCUUCUGCCUUCUUUCGAUUGCCAGUGAUAGUGAUCACUCCUUUGGGACCAGGCAUCUUCAAUUUGAGGUACACGUAGCAUGGUCGAGCCAUAAAACAUGCAUAAGCCGGCCUGCCCAGAAUAGCAUGAUAAGCACUCUGGAAAUCGACGACUUCAAACGUCAACUUUUCUUUGCGGUAAUUCUUGGAAUCACCGAAAACCACAUCAAGGGCGAUCUGGUCGAGUGAUUCAGCCUUCUUGCCAGGAAUAACUCCAUGGAAACUCAUAUUGCUUUCACUGAGUCUGGACAUCGGAAUGCCCAUUCCUUUCAGGGUCUUCGCAUACAAUAUAUUCAAGCCACUGCCACCACCCAUCAGAACCUUAGUCAACCGAGUGCCUUCGACGACUGGGUCGACCACCAACGCUUGCCUCCCAGGGGUGGCUAUGUGUGUUGGGUGAUCAGACUGGUCGAAUGUAAUGGCAGUCUGAGACCAUUUCAAAUAACUGGGCGUCGCUGGGGUGACCAUGUUCACUUCUCUGUUGAUGACUUUCAGUCGACUUUUGCUCUCAACAUCAGCAAAAAUCAUCAGAGUUGAAUUUAUGUGGGGGUAACCAUCAUCGUCUUCUUCCUUAUCCUCAACCUUGUCUGAUUCUUUCUCCUUCUCUUUGGGUUGUUUCUCUCGGAAUUGCUGGAUUAGGAGCCGACAUUGUCGAGUGGUAUGCUUCGAGUAAAUGAGAUUACCCUCCUCAUCUUUUUUGCUGUGAAUGUGGCACGGUAAAUCCAACACAUCAUUUCCAUCUUGAUCUUUUACCUUCUUGGGGUUCCAUGGCCCUUUGGGAUUCCCCUUGAACUUUCCUUGAGUCACGGCUAAGGCUUCUCCGGGAGCAGCUGGCUCGGCUUUGCGCUUCUGCUUCCGACUGGAGUUCCCUCCCCCGGUUUCGUGGGCGAUUGUUUUGUGCUUGCCACUACGGAGCUGGUCCUCCUCCUCACCAUUAGCAUACUUGGUGGAAAUUUCCAUCAUUCGACUCAGAGACAUAUCUCCGGUCCGACCGAACUUCAGAUUCAAUUCCCGAUACUUGACGCCUUCCUUGAAGGCACAAACUGCUUGGUGAUCAGACACAUUCUCCACCGUGUGGUGCAAUGUGAUCCGUCUCUGGAUAUAAUCUCUCAAAGUUUCAUUCGACUUCUGUACGCAAGACUGUAGCUCUGUCAGCCCUUCUGGUCGUUUGCAUGUACCUUCAAAUGUUCGGACAAACACCCGAGCGAGCUCUUCCCGGCUAUAAAUACUGCCAAGUGCUAGCUGAUUCAACCAUGCUCUGGCCGAGCCCUCUAACAUCAGAGGAAGGUGUUUCAUGGCCACUUCAUCAUUACCACCACCAAUCUGCACAGCCACUCGGUAGUCCUCAAGCCAAGUGUCAGGCUUGGACUCACCAGUGAACUUGCUGACUCCAGUCGCCAACCUGAAGUUGGGAGGAAUCACUGCUGCUCUGAUGGCUCUGCUGGAACACUCGGGACCUAUCGUGGAAUUGUCACGACAGAUGUCCUAAUGAAAGGACUUAGUCGUGAGGCCAACGCAUCUAUGUGAUAGCUUGAGAGGGGUUGAGUGGAAUCGAGAGACGCGACACAAGACAGGGAUUUAGACAGCUUCGGGCCCCGAGAAACAUCAUCCGGUAACAACCCUACAUGCUGUUUGAGGCUAGGUCUGAUUAUCAUCACGAGGGAGUCGCCGGUAAACUGGCUCUUUGUGUCUAGCCCUAGAGAUUGUUUCUUCUUCCUGCUUGUCCCCCUUUGGGGAGCCCUGCCCCUCCUUAUAUAUGUUGAAGGGGCGGGUUACAUGUGGAGUCCUAUUAGGAUUAGGACUAGUCUAUCUCUAAUACAAACCGGAUACAAGUCCAGGUCUUAACUCCUUGUAAAACAAAAAUUCCUCACGCCUUUCCUCUUAAACCGGCCACCAUAGUAUGAACCGGCCUUCAUGAACCGCCCGUUGGGCCACCGGGUCUUGUCGCUCCUCUGACCCGCCUGCCGGAUUACCAAUGAAUCGUAAACUGCCAGGUCCAAACGGGUCGCCAGUGAAUCGUUAAGUCUCAGCCGGGUCUCAAGUAAACCGCCAAGUCCGGCCGGGUUAUACUUCCGGCCGGUUUACGCCGCAGGGUAUAUCCCCGACAUUAGCCCCCAGUUUAAUUUGGAUUUAUCCAUGUUAAACUGAUCCUGUAAAACAAACACAAGAACAAAUUUGACAGAUUAUGCUCCGGGUUAAGGAUUCUUGUAAACCAGCAUCUGAUCAUCCUUAAGUCCUUGUCAUUUCCUCCUUCUAGAAAAUCCGGGUCAACAAGCCAGCUUCAUACUCAAUUUGCUGACAUUGGUUUCUCACAGAGAAAUAUUGUGAAGAGUAAUCCACUUGAGUCGGCUUCCAAAGCGCCGGUUUAAGAAAUAUGGGUCUUGAAAUACUUAUCUGAUAUUCAGCCGGUUUGAAGAUGUAAAACUUGCCGGUUUAAUAUUACCAAAAUUGUCGGUUUAUAAAUAUUGAUGGCACCGGGUCAUAAUUGUUGUCGACACCGGGCCAUGUAAUUGAUCUUCCUGAUUUGCUCAAAACUGAUAAACUAAAGACGUUCCUUCUUUAUAUGCAUAAUACCUGUAGCCCCCAAGUCUUAAGAGGAGAACAUAGUGAUAACUUAAGACUUGCUCCAAUAAGUGUUUUCAACCAUGAAGAAAUCCGGUUUGUUCAUCUCAAUCAUAUAAACUGAAUACUCCAUAUAUGUAGCCCCCAAGUGUCGGGUUGUCAUGCUUGCAGCAACCUGGGACUUGUAAUUGCUUAUAAAAACUUCAAUCAGUGUAGCCCCCAAGGGCCGGGUCAUUAUGCAAUAAUGAGCAGGAACUUUGUAAAUAUAAUCAUGUAGACUUGAGCAGUGAUGUGUAGCCCCCAAGGGCCGGCUCCUUACAAUGUGAUGAGUCGUGUCUUCAAUAAGACUAGUAAAAAUGACUUUGCAUUAGCCCCCAAGUGUCAUGGUGCAUGCUUGCAGUGACAUGAGACUUGCAUGUAAUCUCAAUUUGAAUAAUGUAGCCCCCAAGUGCCGGGUUGUAAGCCUGCAGCGACUCAGGACUAUUCCUUCCAUUGUAGAAUAAAUCAUAUCCUUUGAUAAAAUAAUAGCCAUUGCGCUAAAGCGACUUUGAAAACCUCAAUAAUACCGGUUAUUAAUAACCAUAAAAAUCCAGCCAUGUUGGCUAUUCAAGAUAAUAUAAUCCGGUAUGAAAACCUUAUUCAUUCAAUAUCAUAAUGAAAAUUCAGCCAAGUUUGGCUAUUUGAAUAAUAUAACCCAAUGAUUCAUAAGCGCAUGAUUCCAAUGGUGCAAUCCAAAUAUACACUGGCGAUUUAUAGUCCAAAGCCAGACCGAGUUAGCAAACACCGGAUAAUUUCUCAUCAUAUACUGGCGACUUAUCGUCUUAAAGCCAGGCCGGUUUAAUAAACACUGGAUAAUUUAUCAUCAUGCUUUAUUCAACCUGUUUCUGCAUACAACAAAUUUAAAGUGUCCUGGCGGUUUACCGCCGGACGGGUCAUAAUGCCCAACAUAUAACCCGGGUUUAUAACCAAGGCUGCACUUAAGAAUAAUCAAAUAUGAAAUAUAUCAUACCUGUGACCUUUAGGCAUAGUGUUGGCUGACCAACCUUGUAAUGAGGGUAAUAACCCUAAUCUGGAGUAAAAGUAACUCCUGUUAUAUGAUGCCGGUUUACAAUAAAACCAUUCCGGGUUGUGAUAAACACCGGUUUAUUCCAUACUAGUGACUAUGAGUCAAAACCAGACCGGGCUGAUAGUCUCCGGAUUAUAACUUGACCAUGUACUGACAACUUGUAGUUGACAGCCUAACCGGGUUGAUAAACACCGGUUGGAAAACAUCACAAAUCUUAUCAAAAGAAAGAUGAACUUAGCAAAAGGCAAAUAAAACCGUUGUAGUCGAGGCUUUUCACGGGCUGCCAGGCCCCAAAUUUGAUCAAGAGGUGUAGCUAUGGUUCGGGUUCGACCAAGCCCCCAAGUGAUGCUGUGGCAUUACGCCGAUCAAGAGGUGUAGCUAUGGUUAGGGUUCGACCAAGCCCCCAAGUGAUGUUGUGGCAUUACGCUGAUCAAGAGGUGUAGCUAUGGUUCGGGUUCAACCAAGCCCCCAAGUGAUGCUGUGGCAUUACGCCGAUCAAGAGGUGUAGCUAUGGUUCGGGUUCGACCAAGCCCCCAAGUGAUGUUGUGGCAUUACGCCGAUCAAGAGGCGUAGCUAUGGUUCGGAUACGACCAAGCCCCCAAGUCAUGCUGUGGCAUUGCGCCGAUCAACUGUCGUGGAAUUGUCACAGCAGAUGUCCUAAUGAAAGGACUUACUCGUGAGGCCAACGCAUCUAUUGUUGGGGAAUGUAGCAAUAAUUCAAAAUUUUCCUACGUGUCACCAAGAUCAAUCUAGGAGAUGCUAGCAACGAGAGAGAGGGAGUGCAUCUUCAUACCCUUGAAGAUCGCUAAGCGGAAGCGUUACAAGAACGCGGUUGAUGGAGUCGUACUCGCGGCGAUUCAAAUCGCGGAAGAUCCGAUCUAGCGCCGAACGGACGGCGCCUCCGCGUUCAACACACGUACAGCCCGGGGACGUCUCCUCCAUCUUGAUCCAGCAAGGGGAGAGGAGAAGUUGAGGGAGAACUCCAGCAGCACGACGGCAUGGUGGCAAUGGAGCUCGUGGUUCUCCGGCAGAGCUUCGCUAAGCACUACGGAGGAGGAGGAGGAGUUGGAGGGGCUACGCCAGGGAUGUGGUAUAGCUGCCCUCCCACCCCCUCACUAUAUAUAGGGGGAAGGGGAGAGGGGGCCGGCCCCUCUAGAUGGAUCUAGAGGAGGAGGCAGCGGCCAGGGGAAACCCUAGAUGGGUUUGGGCGCCCCCACCCCCUAGGAAACUUGCCCCCCGCGCCCCCACCUCUCCUGGUUACGUGAGAGGGGUUGGGAGGGGCGCACAGCCCCUUAGUGGGCUGGUUUUCCCCUUCCCCUUGGCCCAUAAGGCCCCCCAACGCUUGCCGGGGCCUCCGAAACCCCUUUCGGACAUGCUGGCCAUAGCCUGGUACCCUCGGAACAAUUCCGGAGUCCAAUACACUUCGUCCAAUAUACCGAUCUUCACCUCCGGACCAUUCCGGAGCUCCUCGUCAUGUCCGGGAUCUCAUACAGGACUCCGAACAACCUUCGGUAACCACAUACUAUUUCCCAUAACAACUCUAGCGUCACCGAACCUUAAGUGUGUAGACCCUACGGGUUCGGGAACCAUGUAGACAUGACCGAGACGUUCUCCAGCCAAUAACCAACAGCAGGAUCUGGAUACCCAUGUUGGCUCCCACAUGUUCCACGAUGAUCUCAUCGGAUGAACCACGAUGUCGGGGAUUCAAUCAAUCCCGUAUACAAUUCCAUUUAUCCAUCGGUAUGUUACUUUCCCGAGAUUCGAUCGUCGGUAUCCCAAUACCUCGUUCAAUCUCGUUACCGGCAAGUCUCUUUACUCAUUCCGUAACGCAUGAUCCCGUGGCUAACUCCUUAGUCACAUUGAGCUCAUUAUGAUGAUGCAUUACCGAGUGGGCCCAGAGAUACCUCUCCGUCAUACGGAGUGACAAAUCACUGUCUCGAUUCGUGCCAACCCAACAGACACUUUCGGAGAUACCUGUAGUGCACCUUUAUAGCCACCCAGUUACGUUGUGACGUUUGGUACACCCAAAGCAUUCCUACGGUAUCCGGGAGUUGCACAAUCUCACGGUCUAAGGAAAUGAUACUUGACAUUAGAAAAGCUCUUAGCAAACGAACUACACGAUCUUGUGCUAUGCUUAGGAUUGGGUCUUGUCCAUCACAUCAUUCUCCUAAUGAUGUGAUCCCGUUAUCAAUGACAUCCAAUGUCCAUGGUCAGGAAACCAUAACCAUCUAUUGAUCAACGAGCUAGUCAACUAGAGGCUUACUAGGGACAUGUGUGGUCUAUGUAUUCACACAUGUAUUAUGGUUUCCAGUUAAUACAAUUAUAGCAUGAACAAUAGACAAUUAUCAUGAACAAGGAAAUAUAAUAAUAACCAUUUUAUUAUUGCCUCUAGGGCAUAUUUCCAACAGUCUCCCACUUGCACUAGAGUCAAUAAUAUAGUUCACAUCACUAUGUGAUUGUAAUGAAUCCAAUACCCAUGGGGUUUGUUCAUAUCUCGCUUGUGAGAGAGGUUAUUAGUCAACGGGUCUGAACCUUUCAGAUCCGUGUGUGCUUUACAAAUCUCUAUGUCAUCUUGUAGAUGCAGCUACCACGCGCUACUUGGAGCUAUUCCAAAUAACUGCUCGACUAUACGAAUCCGGUUUUCUACUCAGAGUCAUCCGGAUUAGUGUCAAAGUUUGCAUCGACGUAACCCUUUACGACGAACUCUUUUACCACCUCCAUAAUCGAGAAAAUUCCUUAGUCCACUAGUUACUAAGGAUAAGUUCGACCGCUGUCAUGUGAUCCAUUCCUGGAUUACUAUUGUACCCCUUGACUAACUCAUGGCAAGGCACACUUCAGGUGCGGUACACAGCAUAGCAUACUGUAGAGCCUACGUCUAAAGCAUAGGGGACGACCUUCGUCCUUUCUCUCUCUUCUGCCGUGGUCAGGUCUUGACUCUUACUCAAUACUCACACCUUGUAACACAGCCAAGAACUCCUUCUUUGCUGAUCUAUUUUGAACUCCUUCAAAAUCUUGUCACGGUAUGUAUUCAUUUGAAAGUACUAUUAAGCGUUUUUUAUCUAUCCUUAUAGAUCUUGAUGCUCAAUUUUCAAGUAGCUUAAUCCAGGGUUUCCAUUGAAAAACACUUUUCAAAUAACCCUGUAUGCUUUCCAGAAAUUCUACAUCAUUUCUGAUCAACAAUAUGUUAACAACAUAUACUCAUCAAAAAUUCUAUAGUGCUCCCACUCACUUCUUUGGAAAUACAAGUUUCUCAUAAACUUUGUAAAAACCCAAAAUCUUUGAUCAUCUCAUCAAAGCGUACAUUCCAACUCCGAGAUGCUUACUCCAGUCCUUAGAAGGAUUGCUGGAGCUUUGCAUACUUGUUAGCAUCUUUCAGGAUUGACAAAACCUUCUGGUUGUAUCACAUACAACCUUUCCUCAAGAAAAUCGUCGAGGAAACAAAGUUUUGACAUCCAGCCUGCAAGAUUUCAUAAAUAAUGCAGUAACUGCUAAUAUGGUUCCAACGGACUCUUAGCAUCGCUACGAGUGAGAAAGUCUCAUCGCAGUCAACUCCUUGAACUUGUCGGAAAACAAACGACAAGUCGAGCUUUCUUAAUGGUGACACUUACCAUCAUUGUUUGUCUUCCUUUUAAAAUCCAUCUGCUCCCAACAACCUUACGACCAUCAAGUAGUUCUUCCAAAGUCUAUACUUUGUUUUUAUACAUGGAUCCUCUCUCGGAUUUUAUGGCCUCGAGCCAUUCGUUGGAAUCCGGGCCCACCAUCGCUUCUCCAUAGCUCGUAGGUUCAUUAUUGUCCAGCAACAUGACUUCCAAGACAGGAUUAUGUACCACUCUGAAGUAGUACGCAUCCUUGUCGACCUACGAGGUUUGGUAGUGACUUGGUCCGAAGUUUCAUGAUCACUAUCAUAAGCUUCCACUUCAAUUGGUGUAGGUGCCACAGGAACAACUUCCUGUGCCCUGCUACACACUAGUUGAAGUCAUGGUUCAAUAACCUCAUCAAGUCUCCACUAUCCUCCCACUCAAUUCUUUCGAGAGAAAUUUUUCCUCGAGAAAGGACCCGUUACUAGAAACAAUCACUUUUGCUUCCAGAUCUGAAAUAGGAGGUAUACCCAACUGUUUUGGGUAUUCUAUGAAGAUGCAUUUAUCCGCUUUGGGUUCGAGCUUAUCAGCCUGAAACUUUUUCACAUAAGCAUCGCAGCCCCAAACUGUUAAGAAACGACAGCUUAGGUUUCUCUAAACCAUAGUUCAUACGGUGUCGUCUCAACGGAAUUGCGUGGUGCCCUAUUUAAAGUGAAUGCGGUUGUCUCUAAUGCCUAGCCCAUAAAUGAUAGCGGUAAUUCGAUAAGAGACAUCAUGGUAUGCACCAUAUCCAAUAGGGUGCAGUUAUGAUGUUCGGACACACCAUCAGACUAUGGUGUUCCAGGCAGUAUUAGUUGUGAAACAAUUUCCACAAUGUCUUAAUUGUGUGCCAAACUCGUAACUCAGAUAUUCAUCUCUAUGAUCAUAUCACAGACAUUUUAUCCUCUUGUCACGACGAUCUUCAACUUCACUCUGAAAUUACUUGAACCUUUCAAUAAUUCAGACUUGUGUUUCAUCAAGUAAAUAUACUCAGCAUCUACUCAAAUCAUAUGUGAAGUAAGAACAUAAUGAUAUCCACUGCAUGCCUCGGCACUCAUUGGACUGCACACAUCAAAAUGUAUUACUUCCAACAAGUUGCUUUCUUGUUCCAUCUUACUGAAAACGAGGCCUUUCAGUCAUCUUGCCCAUGUGGUAUGAUUUGCAUGUCUCAAGUGAUUCAAAAUCAAGCGAGUCCAAACGAUCCAUCUGUAUGGAGUUUCUUCAUGCAUAUCUACCAAUAGACAUGGUUCGCAUGUCUCAAUCUUUUCAAAAAUGAGUGAGUCCAAAGAUCCAUCAACAUGGAGCUUCUUCAUGCGUAUUAUACCAAUAUGACUCAAAUGGCAGUGCCAUAAGUAUGUGGUACUAUCAUUACUAUCUUAUAUCUUUUGGCAUGAACAUGUGUAUCACUACGAUCGAGAUUCAAUAAACCAUUCAUUUUAGGUGCAAGACCAUUGAAGGUAUUACUCAAAUAAACAGAGUAACCAUUAUUCUCCUUAAAUGAAUUACCGUAUUGCGAUAAACAUAAUCCAAUCAUGUCUAUGCUCAACGCAAACACCAAAUAACAAUUAUUUAGGUUUAACGCCAAUCUCGAUGGUAGAGGGAGCAUGCGAUGCUUGAUCACAUCAACCUUGGAAACACUUCCAACACAUAUCGUCAUCUCACCUUUAGCUAGUCUCCGUUUAUUCCGUAGCCUUUUAUUUCGAGUUACCAACACUGAGCAACCGAACCGGUAUCUAAUACCCUGGUGCUACUAGGAGUACUAGUAAAGUACACAUUAAUAUAAUGUAUAUCCAAUAUACUUCUGUCGACCUUGCCUGCCUUCUCAUCUACCAAGUAUCUAGGGUAGUUCUGCUUCAGUGACCGUUCCCCUCAUUACAGAAGCACUUAUCCCUUGCCCUUCUUGAAACUAGUGGUUUUACUAACCAUCAACAAUUGAUGCUCCAACUUGAUUUCUACUUUCGCGGUGUCAAACAUCGCGAGUUGCUCAAGGAUCAUCAUGUCUAUCCCUGAUAUGUUAUAGUUCAUCACGAAGCUCUAAUAGCUUGGUGGCAGUGACUAUGGAGAACCAUCACUAUCUCAUCUGGAAGAUUAACUCCCACUCGAUUCAAGCGAUUGUAGUACUCAGACAAUCUGAGCACAUGCUUAACGAUUGAGCUUUUCUCCCUUAGUUUGCAGGCUUAAGAAACUUGUCAGAGGUCUCAUACCUCUUGACGUGGGCACUAGUCUGAAAUCCCAAUUUCAGUCUUUGGAACAUCUCAUAUGUUCUGCGACGUUUCAAAACCGUCUUUGGUGCCACAAUUUUAAACCGUUAGCAUUACGCACUAAACUAUACGUAGUCAUCAAAACGUGUAUGUUAGAUGUUUCGCAACAUCUACAGACGACGCUCGAGGUUCAGCACACCAAGUGGUACAUCAAGGACAUAAGCCUUCUGUGCAGCAAUGAGGACAAUCCUCAGUAUACGGACCCAGUCCGCAUAAUUGCUACUGUCAACUUUCAACUAAAUUUUCUCUAGGAACAUAUCUUAAAUAGUAGAACUAAAGCGUAAGCUAUGACAUAAUUUGCAAAGACCUUUUGACUAUGUUCAUGAUAAUUAAGUUCAUCUGAUUAUUUAAUGAACUCCCGCUUAGAUAGACAUCCCUCUAUUCAUCUAAGUGAUACAUGAUCCGAGUCAACUAGGCCGUGUCCGAUCAUCACGUGAGACGGACUAGUCAUCAUCGGUGAACAUCUUCAUGUUGAUCGUAUCUACUAUACGACUCAUGUUCAAUCUUUCGGUCUCUUGUGUUCCGAGGCCAUUUCUGUACAUGCUAGGCUCGUCAAGUCAACCUAAGUGUUUCGCAUGUGUAAAUCUGGCUUACACCCGUUGUAUGCGAACGUUAGAAUCUAUCACACCCGAUCAUCACGUGGUGCUUCGAAACAACGAACCUUCGCAACGGUGCACUGUUAGGGGGAACACAUCUCUUGAAAUUUUAGUGAGGUAUCAUCUUAUUUAUGCUACCGUCGUUCUAAGCAAAUAAGAUGUAAACAUGACAAACAUCACAUGCAAAUCAUAAAGUGACAUGAUAUGGCCAGUAUCAUCUUGCGCCUUUUGAUCUCCAUCUUUGAGGCGCGGCAUGAUCACCUUCGUCACCGGCAUGACACCAUGAUCUCCAUCAUCGUGUCUUCAUGAUGUUGUCUCGCCAACUAUUACUUCUACUACUAUGGCUAACGGUUAGCAAUAAAGUAAAGUAAUUACAUGGUGUUUUUCAUUGACACGCAGGUCAUACAAUAAAUUAAGACAACUCAUAUGGCUCCUGCCGGUUGUCAUACUCAUCGACAUACAAGUCGUGAUUCCUAUUACAAGAACAUGAUCAAUCUCAUACAUCACAUAUAUAUAAUUCAUCACAUCCUUUUGGCCAUAUCACAUCACAUAGCAUACCCUGCAAAAACAAGUUAGACGUCCUCUAAUUGUUGUUGCAUGUUUUACGUGGCUGCUAUGGGUUUCUAGCAAGAAUGUUUCUUACCUACGCAAAAGCCACAACGGUGAUAUGCCAAUUGCUAUUUACCCUUCAUAAGGACCCUCUUCAUCGAAUCCGAUCCGACUAAAGUGGGAGAGACAGACACCCGCUAGCCACCUUAUGCAUCAAGUGCAUGUCAGUCGGUGGAACCUGUCUCACGUAAGAGUACGUGUAAGGUCGGUCCGGGCCGCUUCAUCCCACAAAGCCGCCGAAUCAAGAUAAGACUAGUAACGGUAAGCAAAUUGAACAAAUCAUCGCCCACAACUACUUUGUGUUCGACUCGUGCAUAGAAUCUACGCAUAGACCUAGCUCAUGAUGCCACUGUUGGGGAACGUAGCAAUAAUUAAAAAAUUUCCUACGUGUCACCAAGAUCAAUCUAGGAGAUGCUAGCAACGAGAGAGAGGGAGUGCAUCUUCGUACCCUUGAAGAUCGCUAAGCGGAAGCGUUACAAGAACGCGGUUGAUGGAGUCGUACUCGCGGCGAUUCAAAUCAUGGAAGAUCCGAUCUAGCGCCGAACGGACGGCGCCUCCGCGUUCAACACACGUACAGCCCGGGGACGUCUCCUCCUUCUUGAUACAGCAAGGGGAGAGGAGAAGUUGAGGGAGAACUCCAGCAGCACGACGGCAUGGUGGCAAUGGAGCUCAUGGUUCUCCGGCAGAGCUUCGCUAAGCACUACGGAGGAGGAGGAGGAGUUGGAGGGGCUGCGCCAGGGAUGUGGUAUGGCUGCCCUCCCACCCCCUCACUAUAUAUAGGGGGAAGGGGAGAGGGGGCCGGCCCCUCUAGAUGGAUCUAGAGGAGGAGGCGGCGGCCAGGGGAAACCCUAGAUGGGUUUGGGCGCCCCCACCCCCUAGGAAACUUGCCCCCCAAGCCGGGAGGGGCGGCUGCCCUAGGGGUGGCGCCCCCACCUCUCCUGGUUACAUGAGAGGGGUUGGGAGGGGUGCACAGCCCCUUAGUGGGCUGGUUUGCCCCUUCCCCUUGGCCCAUAAGGCCCCCCAACGCUUGUCGGGGCCUCCGAAACCCCUUUCGGACAUGCUGGCCAUAGUCUGGUACCCCCGGAACAAUUCCGGACUCCAAUACCCUUCGUCCAAUAUACCGAUCUUCACCUCCGGACCAUUCCGGAGCUCCUCGUCAUGUCCGGGAUCUCAUCCGGGACUCCGAACAACCUUCGGUAACCACAUACUAUUUCCCAUAACAACUCUAGCGUCACCGAACCUUAAGUGUGUAGACCCUACGGGUUCGGGAACCAUGUAGACAUGACCGAGACAUUCUCCGGCCAAUAACCAACAGCAGGAUCUGGAUACCCAUGUUGGCUCCCACAUGUUCCACGAGGAUCUCAUUGGAUGAACCACGAUGUUGGGGAUUCAAUCAAUCCCGUAUACAAUUCCCUUUGUCCAUCGGUAUGUUACUUGCCCGAGAUUCGAUCGUCGGUAUCCCAAGACCUCGUUACCGGCAAGUCUCUUUACUCGUUCCGUAACGCAUGAUCCCGUGGCUAACUCCUUAGUCACAUUGAGCUCAUUAUGAUGAUGCAUUACCGAGUGGGCCCAGAGAUACCUCUCCGUCAUACGGAGUGACAAAUCACUGUCUCGAUUCGUGCCAACCCAACAGACACUUUCGGAGAUACCUGUAGUGCACCUUUAUAGCCACCCAGUUACGUUGUGACGUUUGGUACACCCAAAGCAUUUCUACGGUAUCCGGGAGUUGCACAAUCUCACGGUCUAAGGAAAUGAUACUUGACAUUAGAAAAGCUCUUAGCAAACGAACUACACGAUCUUGUGCUAUGCUUAGGAUUGGGUCUUGUCCAUCACAUCAUUCUCCUAAUGAUGUGAUCCCGUUAUCAAUGACAUCCAAUGUCCAUGGUCAGGAAACCAUAACCAUCUAUUGAUCAACGAGCUAGUCAACUAGAGCCUUACUAGGGACAUGUUGUGGUCUAUGUAUUCACACAUGUAUUACGGUUUCCAGUUAAUACAAUUAUAGCAUGAACAAUAGACAAUUAUCAUGAACAAGGAAAUAUAAUAAUAACCAUUUUAUUAUUGCCUCUAGGGCAUAUUUCCAACAUCUAUGUGCUAGCUUGAGAGGGGUUGAGCGGAAUCGAGAGACGCGACACAAGACAGGGAUUUAGACAGCUUCGGGCCCCGGGAAACAUCGUCCGGUAACAACCCUACAUGUUGUUUGAGGCUAGGUCUCAUUAUCAUCACGAGGGAGUCGCCGGUAAACCGGCUCUUUGUGUCUAGCCCUAGAGAUUGUUUCUUCUUCCUGCUUGUCCCCCUUUGGGGAGCCCUGCCCCUCCUUAUAUAUGUUGAAGGGGCGGGUUACAUGUGGAGUCCUAUUAGGAUUAGGACUAGUCUAUCGUCCGGGUCUUAACUCCUUGUAAAACAAAUAUUUCUCACACCUUUCGUCUUAAACCGGCCCACCAUAGUAUGAACCGGCCUUCAUGAACCGCCCGUUGGGCCACCGGGUCUUGUCGCUCCUCUGACCCGCCUGCCGGAUUACCAAUGAAUCGUAAACCGCCAGGUCCAAACGGGUCGCCAGUGAAUCGUUAAGUCUCAGCCGGGUCUCAACUAAACCGCCAAGUCCGGCCGGGUUAUACUUCCGGCCGGUUUACGCCGCGGGGUAUAUCCCCGACAGGACCCGAAACAUGCACCCUGCUGCCGGUUGGGUAAUCUCUAUCGUGGCCAUCUCUGUGUGCUCUGUUCCUGUCAACCAGACCUUGAACGAGAAUGGAUCUCGCGUCAAAGCCCGGCUCCCGGGGGUCGACUGGAAUCCUUCGCCCUCCAUUGUGAGGGCGUCUGUCAUCGUGUUGCCGAGGCGCGUAUGACCCACUCCUUGGGGGAGGCGUGGGUACUCGACGAUGAUCAUACUGGUCACGAUUCCUGUACUGAUCCUGUCGAUCUCCACGUCCCUCACGCCUUGGAGGCGAUCUUGGGCUGUGAGCCGACUGAACUGUGUCUGCCAUCACAGAUCUACUAUGAAUCCUAUUCCGAGACUGUGACACUGCUGUGUUCUGCUCCCCUGCCGCCCGGAGCAAAGCCCGGAUCUGCAUCAAACCCCUACCAGCCUCCGACUGGGAAGGCUGAAUCGACUCUGCUAUUCGGGCAGCAGCCGUGAGAUUCUGGAUCGGAGUUCGAUAUACCUGGGUUGAAGGCGGAAAGAGUUGGCGUCAAAUGGAUUCAGGAACUCGCUGCCGAGCACGCUCGUCGAGUGCGUGCUGGAGAUUCUCCAGUCGAGUGCGCUCAGCCAAGUUGGCCAGGCACACCUCCUCCAAUGCCCGGGCCUCGGGGGUUUCUCCAACGAUAGGAGUGUGAAGUGCAUCCAUGUUACGGCGGCGAAGCUCUUCCCUCAGCUGCGAAGAGAGGGGCUCGGGGCGGUACUCCUCGUGGGCACGCGACAGAUCGCCUCCGCCAUCACCACCGCCGUCGCGGGGGAAGCCAGGAGGACUGCGCGGUCCGUUGACCAUCAGGACUUCCACCGCAGGGUCACUGCUGUCGCACUCGGAUGCGGUCUCAGCGGAACCAGUCGAACAGGCCGUAGAGAGUUUCGUCGGGCUCGAUUGCCGCGACUUGAGGGGUGGCCGACUGGCGAGCCACCGCGUGCCUCACCCACCACUUAAGCCUCGACCGACCGGAACGCUUAUGCCGGCGGGCCGCGGGGAGUGAAGACGCCACAGGAGCCGACCGAUACUGGGCCGACGGCUGCCGCAGGAGGACGCCGCGGACGCACGCGCGAAAGUGCGUUGCCCCGCGGACGGGGAGCGCCUCGACGUCGAGUGGAGCCUCUUGGAGCCAAGCGGAGUCGUCGGCAACGAACACGAGCGCGCCGAGACGGAUCUCACGGCCCUCAGUCAAUCCUCCGCCUGAAACCAUGCUGAUGGGGAUUUGAAAAAUUGCAACUUCUCCAACAAGUCACUAAAACACCUGCCCCACGGUAGGCGCCAACUGUCGUGGUUCUAAGUCUGACAGUAGAAUGGGGGUAGGGAUGUAAAGGCAAGGUCCUAGCUAUGGAGAAGCUGUACGCACGAGUUUUACGAGUUCAUGCCCUUCUCGGGGGAAGUAACAGCCCUACGUCUCGGAGCCCGGAGGCGGUCGACUGGAUUAUAUGCGUGUGUGUUACAGGGGGUGCGAACCCUUGUGCUAGUGGAGGGGGGUGGCUUAUAUAGAGUGCGCCAGGACCCCAGCCAGUCCACGUUACAAGGAGUUCAAUGUUCAUAAAGUAGGAGCGUUACAGGUAACGUCUGCAGUAAAGUAAUAUAAAUGACUAUUAAGUCUAAGAGUAAAUGCCCGACUGUUGCUGCGCGGAGUGGCUUUAGGUCUUCUGCACGUCGAGUGGUUUAGUGGUCGAGUGACAUAAACAAGGGGGGUCUCCGAGUGAAUGGUAGGUCGAGUGGAUUGCACUCGACACCUUUGUUGGGUCCCCUCUAUUUACUCCUGAACCUCUUUGCUUCUAGGACAAGGACCUUAGGUAGGACGUAUAGGUCAGGCCUAUUACCCUACCCCAGGUCUAUGUCCUCAUCAUUGGGCGCGGGGGCGGUUGGAUGUGUCUGGCCGCCGGGCGGACAUGUCCGGCGGCGCGGAGGGGAGAGUAGUUAGGGUUCAUCCGCGAAAAAAUGGAGGGGAGGUCCUAUUUAUAGCUAAAGGGAGCUAGGAGAGUCCAAAUGGGGAGCGGUUUUCGCCCACACGAUCACGAUCCAACGACCGAGAGCAUGGAGGGGGUUUGGAUGGGCUAAUGAGCUGUGGUGAAGGGGGGCUGGGCUGCAAAGAGAGAGGGGUUUCGGGGUUACACGGUUAACCGUUAGAGCGUCAAACGACCUCCAAAUGGAACGAAAAUUGACAGGCGGUCUACCUACUCUAAAACAACACCGCACGCCAAGUUUCAACCCAUUCCGAGAACAUUUUUCGGCCACUAAUAAAAUAAUAUUUCAGAGGUGCCGGGGGCGUGAGAGAGUGUCGGAACGCGAAACGGACAAUGGGGAAAAAGACCGGAUGCAAGUUUUGAAAAAUAUGAGGAUGCAAUGCAUAUGAUGACAUGGCAAAAUGCAACACGCAAGCAAAUGACAUGGCAACGACGGCGAAUAACUGGAAGACACCUGGCGCAUCGGAUUCGGGGCGUUACAGGAGUAGACCACUUGGGAGGUGAUCACGGACUUGUCAAGAGUCGUUCGUCCGAUGGUGGUGAUGUUUUUGCCCUCAUAAGUUGUUAGCUUGUUUGCGGCCUUGUCCACUAGAAAUUGAAGAUCCACCAACUUUAGUUGCCAAACUGAAAGAGGGAGCCCCAAGUAUCGUAGAGGGAAGGAAGCCCUAGCAGCCGGCAACCUCUGGGUCAGACGUCCCAAAUCGAGGUGGUUGCAUCGGAUGGGCACAAAAGAGCUCUUGUUGAAGUUAGUACACAGACCCGUGACCUCACCGAAGCCCCUCAAAAUGUUUGCAAGGUUGUCGACGUCCCUUUUGAUCGGAGCCAAGAAGACGGCCGCAUCGUCUGCAUAGAGGGAGGUCCUCAUCAUGGCUCCCCUACCCCUGAUUUUGUGGAGGAGCCCCUUUCUCGUAGCCACCUCGAGAAUUCUUUGGAGUGGAUCAAUGGCGAUGACGAAAAGCAGCGGGGAUACGGGGUCCCCUUGCCGAAGGCCCUGUCCAUGCUUAAUUGGGUCGCCGGCAAUACCAUUGAGGAUGAUCCUCGAGGAGAAGCUAAGAAGGGCUGCAAUCCAGUCCCUAAACUUGCUAGGGGAUCCUCGCCGUUGGAGAAGGUCGAGCAAGUACUCCCACUUCACGGUGUCGAAGGCCUUGCGGAUGUCAAGCUUGAAGAGAAGUGAAGGGGUCAGUUUCAUAAAAUAGAUUUGCUUCCGUGCACAACACAAGAUGAUCAUUUUGCGAAAGUUUUCAUAAAAUACGACUUCAAAUAUAUAUGUAAGAGCGUAGGCGAAAGCAUCAUCAUACAGGCGGUGAUCUUUCAUCAUGAACCAAAAGGGACCAUCUACAACGGCGAGGUCAAAAACGGAUUGUUUUACAGUAGGACGCACAUAUUCCACUACACACGUAGAUAGAUAAACUAGCAGCAGCGCAGACACUUUCAGAGAGUUGAGACAACCAUCGCACCCUUCAGCGGCGCCUUGCAGCGUUAACUCAAAAUUCCACACUUGCGUGAUUCAGACACAAGACUUCAGGAGGAG
rnacentral:lncRNA from 1 species